UCUUCAAGCAACGUCUUUCUAAGUAGCAUGAGAAUGUUGUUUGUUAUCAAGUAAUUUGCUCCGAUCCGAUUUCUAGUUUCUAUUUUUACUCAAAGCUAUUGUACGCUGAAGCGAUAGACAUGCAAAAUAAAUUAUGGCACUAGAUUCUAUAUGAGUGAUAUUCUAUUUCCGGGCAGUCAAGUCGUGCACUGGAGGUAGACUGAUUGGCACAUGAUAUUUUGAGCGGGGGCUGCAGUGAUGUGGUGCAUAUGGCAAGCUACGCACCCCUCUUUGUUAAUGACAACGACAGAAGGUGUGGUUCUCAAAACCUAUUUCCAUGCUUUACGAAUUGAUUUCUUCCAGCUUCGGAGUGCGUUAGUGACCAUGAUCUAGCAAUCUCAGGUAGGCAAUUCCAAUACAGAAGGUGAAGGUCAUCAUAUCCCUCGUGGAACACGUAUGAAUUGAAAUGAAGAGGAAUGUAAGCUGAGAAAACUAGCUGGUCUGUGUGGUGACCAGAUGGAACCCCGAUGCAAUUGUCUUCAACUCCUGGCAACAGUAUGGGACACCCAGCUACUGGGUUCAACAAUUUUUCAAGAAAUCCAACGGCGCCUACCUCAUAUCCUCCACCAUGGAGGCUGACUCAGCCUCGGCCCUUGCAAAUCUUGCAACAUCGGCUGUCCGCACAUACAAUGCCUCUACUGGAAUGGAGUAUAUGAUUGUCAAGGUAGCCAAUACCUUGCUUUGAGUAGAUGCAUGUAUACUAUUCUUGUGGUUUAAUUAAGCGUGUCAUGAGGCGAGCACUAAGCUGGCGAUACCUGCAAAAUACAGGCCGUGAACUUCGGAAGCAGUGCUUUGAACCUGAGCAUUGCCGUGUCUGGGAUAUCAGCCAAUAACGUCGUGGCUGCGGAUUCGCAUAUCACGGUCAUGACAUCAGGAGCAGUGAUGGACGAGAACUCGUUCACAAAUCCAAAAAAGGUUCAAUUCUCACAACCUCAGUCUCUCAUCUUCCACCGAGUGCCACAGGGCGACAGUCUUGCAUCAUCCUUCUCAGUUUUUUUAGACACGCUGGAAACAUUCCAUCUGCCUUUUCCAUAUUGCCGAAACACCAGAAGAAGAAAGAAAAAGAAGAAAAGAACUCUUUUACGCCUCCAUAUUGAUGAAUAAACCUGUUGAUUGAUUGCUUUCUUCACUAACAUCAGAGCUCGUCUUUCUGGUGAAAAGGUGGUGCCCCAAGUGAGCCAAGCCGAGAACGCAGCACCGAACAUGCAAAUCCUACUUCCUGCACACUCAAUCACAGCCCUUGAAUUGGGGUUGUUACCUACAAAGAGCUCCACAGCUACACUUGAGGUUACACAAGUGACCUCCAAAGAUAGCAAAGCGCCGUUUCUGGUUUAGUCACUGACAAAAUGGAUUUGAAUCUCCUUUGUACCGUCAUGCUUUUAUUAUACUUCUGUAACAGACAGACGUUCAAAGUAGUCUGCAGGGUCAGAAGCUUGUGGUAGACUGUUCUAUCAACUAUAAUCUCAACUUGCAGGGCGACAGUUUCACCACUAAAAUCCAAUUUUCUGGAGUUAAUUCAGGUGUUUGUUUGUCAGUUUGAUCUUUUUUUUUUAGUAGAAACAAGGCUUGGUGCAGCUCUCCGCAUCUCGUAUUAACCAAACUGGGUGUCAAGCCAUUGUGUCAGCUUCUGCAAUAUUCAUCCUUGGAAAAAGUUUGUUAAUUCUUCAUAAGAAGAAAAGAAAGAACACUAUGAAUUGGAACGUUUUGCCUGAAGUUAUAAUUUUUAGGCUAAAAAGUGAUGUGAUGUACACAUUCAUCAAAAUCUUGAUUGUAAAUGAAAUAGGAUCAUUAUUAUGUUGAAAUAAAAAAGAAACACCAGGGAUAAUGGUCAUUCCACAUUGAUCACAUCAGUCUUUUAUUUACUUUAUUUAUUAAAUAUUUCUUUGACACAAAGGGGUUUGUCCUCUGCAUUCAUUAGUUGAUUACGCCAGUCUCGUAUUCUUUUUCUUUCAAUUGAUUUUGUUCUAAAUCUAUACAAAUAUUCCCUUUAACAUUUUCAAUAAAGUUUCUCCUUGUUUUGUUUUUGUAAUUUUGAACUUUUGUUGAAUAAUGACUUUUUGAAUAAUAAGAAAAAAAAUAUGUGAAAAUUCCACAAUAAAAAAGAUUUGUGAAUUGAUUUAUAACUGUAUAUUUGUUGAUAUUUUAAAGUGAUGUAUUUUGUAUCACUAAGAUUUAAUUUUUGGCUUUUCAUCAACAAACUUCUGAUUAUGUUUUGUUAAUUAAAUAUGUUUCAUUUUAUAACAUUCUUAUCUUAUUUGAUUUUACCACCUUUACCCUUACAAACUAUUUUUUGUCUAGUACAAGAUGGUUUCUAUAUAUAAGAAUAUUGAAAAUUGUAAUUCCUAGAUAUUUAAGUAUUUACAUGUGUCUUUAUAUUGUAAAAAUCAGUACUACUUAAAAUAUGACUUAAUAAAAAAUAAAAUACUUAAAAAAAGUAGUUUGAAAAUUAUAUAUUUUAAAACUUUGUUGUCAUUAUUACCCAAAAAGGAUAGGUAAAUAUAUGACUCAAUCAACAUAGAUAAGUAAAGGAAUAUAAAUGAAAAAAUAUAUAUAUUACUACUUUUUUACAAAUAGAUUUUAUUUUUAAACAAACAUUAGUAAAAAUUAAUUUUUAUGUUUAUAAAUAUUUAUAGCCAUUUUUAUAUUUCUUCUAAAUACUUGAUAUCUUUAUAUAUAGAAACAUACAUAUAUAUAUAUAAUUAGUAAAUAUUAUAAAAAUAUAUUUUUAGAUAAUUAUAUACUAGUUAGAAAGACUAUAGAAAUAAAAGGACACAUUUUUUGGUAUCAAAUCAGACAAAUAUAUAAAAUAUAUUAAUUAAUUAUACAUACACAAACACACACAUAUGUACAUUAUACAAUAUGAAAAUUAAACAAAUUUAGAGUAGUUAAUUAAAAUAUUAUUUCUUGUAGUUCUGCCAUAGUAAUGCUUUGGUGACAACAACAAAGAAUUCUUUAAAAUAAUGUUUUAAGAAAACAAACAAACUUAGAUAGUUAGAUAUGCUCAAGCUACAAGCACAUCUAAAAUUGCUACAUGCACACCCAUUAUGUUUAAACACACACCCAUGGCUUGAUGGGGGACCCAAUCUCCUACUCUUCCUCUUCUUUGUCUUUGUGCAAGUCUUGGAUUUCUUCUCCAACUUCGUAGUUCCAUUGUUAAGACAAAGAAUAGGAUGGAGAGGUCCUCAACUUAUGUUGGGACAAGGAAGAGGGAGUCUAGAGCAAUCAAUCAAAGGCCUUAGGUGUGUAUAUAGACAUGAUGGGCAUGUGUAUAGCAAUUUGGAAUGUGCUUGUAGCUUGAACCAUAUAUAUAUAUAUAUAUAUACAUAUACAUACAUACAACUUUUUAACCAUUCAAAUAUAUUUAUUGUUAGUUUAUUGAUAGUAAAAAUUAUUCUAAUAAAAAUAUAUAAAAAAAUAAAUUUAAUUGCUUAAAGAAAGAAAGAAAUAAAUAAAUAAAUAAAUUAGAAGGAUAUAGGAUAUAUUAUUUUAUUUUUAUAUUUUAUAUUUUAUUUUAAAAUCACAAUAAAGUAUUCUUUAAUUAUAUUCAAUUAAUAUUAAAUUAAAAUAUAUUAAAAUAUUAAAAUAUUAAAUAAAUACUCAUGCAAAAAAAAAGUUGUUUGAUUUUGUAUAAUAUAAUAUAAAGAUUUUUGUUUUUGUUUUUUGUUUUGUUUUUUUUUUUUUUUGUUUGUUUUUUUUUUCCCACCCAAAACAUCUUGAAAUUGUCUAUGAUUUUUUUAGCUUCAAUUUUACUGUCACAAGUUUUGUCACAUUAUGAAUUACUUUUUAAUUUCAUUAAUGCAAUACAUUGUUAGCUUUAUUUUUUUUAAUUUAAAUUUUAUAAAAUUAUCAUAAAUUUUAUUUAAUUUUUUUUGCGGUUUUAUGAUUGAUUUCAAAACACAAAAUAGAUGAAACCAUAUUAAACAGUAAUGUUAUUAACAUAUAAUUUUAUGUGAGUAUUAAUAAAAUAUUUAUACAUUUAACUAUAAAAACAUGAAAAAUAAAUUUAACGAAAGAGCUAAUACUUAUAAAGUAAUUUUCAUAUAUUUUUUAUCUUUUGAAAUUAUUAACUUAAAAAAUAGGAAUCAGUUAUAUAAUAUUUAAUGAUGUAUUAUCAAAUUUUUCUUAAAUAUUUUUAUAUUUAAGUUGUAUAAAUGUAUGUUAUUAAACUUAAACCACUGAAAAAACCAAGAUUUUUAUGUCUUCUACUCUAAAACAUUUUGCUUAUUUAUAAACUGUCAAAGUAAUAUUUAAAUUAUACGUAUCAAAUAAAUUCUUUUUAAGCACAUAUCUAUUACUUGGAUUUGUUGAUCAUAUAUACCUCAAAUUUCAUCUGAACAUGUAUUAUUCCUUGUUGAUUCGAAACUACUCAAUGUACAUGGAUACUUAAAAGUUUGCUUAUAAAGGUUUGUACAAAAGUGGUUUAAGGUUGCAUGAAUGCAAAUAUAAAUUGAAACCUUUAAAAGAAGAAAUCUCCUAAAUUGACCAAGUCAUUAUUUAAGGACAUAUAAAUAAAAAUCACACCUAUAAUAUUAAAAAAAGGACAUGCUUCUUGUAGUAUUAAUAAAUCCAAGAAAUAGCUUUGAGAUUGCAUUCUUGAAAGUGUCUUUAGACAUAAACUCCCUUAUGUGUAGACAUACACUUCUUAUUCUAAGAAAACAAGAUAUAAAUUAAUGAUAUUUAUAAAAAAAAUAUACCCUCUAUCUAUCUAUUGGAGACAUGUCAUGGGUAUCAAAGGUAUGUCACGCACAUGAGAUGCUUUUCAAUCCUAAGUAUUUGAAAAAAAAUAAAAAAUCAAAGAAAAACAUAUAUGGAGGUCCAAUCUGCUAGGAAAAAAUUGGAUCGUAUGCAAUUUAGUAUGAUCUUUAUCUCAAUCCAUUUCAAUGUUCUGAUGUCCCAGAAUAUAUUUGGCCGAAAUAUGCUAAAAUACCAUUGGAAUAGAAAAGCAUUGGACUAAAAGCUUAGUAGCUUACGGGUCUCUGCAGCACUAAGCUACAGAAUGUUGUAAUCUUUGAAAGGGUUGGAGGGGAUUCAAAAUGCUCCACCACAUGUGGUGAACAAACCACUUCGCCUGUAGGUGAAAGGGAGGCACUUGAAGACCGAAGAUACCAAUUUGCAGCCUUUGUUGGCUAUCUAGACCGUCGAAGAUCUGAGGAGAUAGAUUGUUUAUUUACAAGAGGAAUUAGAAAACUUAUCAACUCAGAAUCACGACCCAGUGUUUCCUAAUCCUAGGAUGCUGCUAGAAUACCACGUGAAGCAGUUCCAAGUAUAUUCUCCAGCAUGUCACUAGAUCUGAUAAGAAAUCGGUGUUCAGUGGCAUUCAGAAGGGAUCCGGAAUACCAUAUUUCUACACAACUUCUGAACAAAACACAAUAGAUCCGAUCAAUCCACCUCAACGUUUCAUGUGCUGUUGCUGUGCCUCCACAACUUGCAGUGUUUGCUGAGCGAUAGAGAGCUCCUCGUUUGUAGGUAUAACCAGGAUCUGCACUUUUGAACCCUUCUUAUGUAUUGCCUUGGCCUCUUUUAAUUUCCCUUCCCCAUUUUGACUGGAGUCGAUUUCGAUACCGAACUUCUCUAAGCCUUCACAGAUAAGAGCACGAGUCCUGCCUGAUGCCUCCCCUACUCCUGCACUGAAUACCAAGGCAUCAACCUGUCCUUCCAGCUGGAAAAAAUAAGAUCCUAGGUAUGAGCGAAUGCGAUGCACGUAAACUUCAAGAGCUAAUUUGUGCCUUGCAUUUCCAGCUUCAGCAGCAUCCCACACAGACCUCAGGUCUUUCUCCCCGCAUAAACCGAACAAUCCACUCUUCUUGUUCAACAUGUUGGUAACCUCAUCGACAUCCAUGCCCUUUUCAGAUGCUAAUAUCUGAAUAAUAGCUGGAUCAAUGUCACCUGAUCGUGUCGCCAUAACCAACCCCUGCAAUGGAGUGACACCCAUUGAUGUAUCAAUGCACUUGCCAUUCCUGAUUGCAGCCAUACUUGCUCCUGCUCCAAGAUGCAGAGCAAUCAUAUUCACAUCUGCUUGAGACUUCCCAAGGAUGUUAGAGACUUGUCCAAGAAGAUAUUGAUAGCUUGUUCCAUGGAAUCCAUACCUCCGAAUGCCUAGCUCUUCAUAAAGAUUGUAUGGAAUAGCAUAAUGGUAAGCGGCAGGUGGCAUUGUUGAGUGGAAAGCUGUGUCGAAGACAGCUACCUGAGGGCAUUCAAAUAUCUCUUCUGAAACUAGAAUUCCCUGCAUGAACAACGAGUUCACAAUCGAGAUUCAAACCCCAUGGUAAGGGAUUACAAAAAAAAGAAAAAGGAGACAUAAAACUUUUGGUCUUGUAGAUAUGCCACUGAAAGUAAAGCCAUUUGAUAACCUAGAGAAACCCAAAUGAGUGAACUUCAAAGCAAUCACCUGCUGUUAAGAUUCUGAAAUAAUUAAGUGAGAAUUUGCACGCAUACCUCAAGGUUAGGAGGAUUAUGAAGAGGAGCAAGCGGGGCAGCUUUUUCGAUGGCUUGUUUCACACUUUCAGUGACAAGUGUAGGCCGUGUUAAAGCCUCUCCUCCGUGCACUACCCGGUGGCCAACAGCCAUGACAUUAUGAGAACUACCCUCUCCUAAGCGAAGAAGGUCCAGCACCUUUUGAAGGCCUUGUUUGUGGUGUCCGAUAUCUAGACCCUGCACAUCGUACCAUUCGGGACAAUUAUUAGAAGGCUUCCGAGUAACUGCAGCACAAACAGAAAGUAAGAUACUCGUGAACUCUUCUUGUAUACGUGAUCAACUAAAGCCUGGCAGUUUUCAAUCAAUUUAAGUAAAAAAAAUUAAUGUAAAAACCCUAAAAGUGGCCGUUGUUACCACGAAACAACUUAUAUAAAGCUGAAAGAAUUGAAAUAUACAAAGUGGAGAGCCUGCUUACUUGUAGUGUCACAUCCUGAGACGUUUGAACAUUCUUGUGAGAGAUAAAGCUUCUUUCGGUGCCAAUGCCACCGACGAUACCUACAGAAAUGCAUGUGGCUGCUUUUGCGAGAUCGUAGAGGGCAUACCUACAAAUGUUGACGAGCAUCUUAAGUAACUAUUUAUCACAUAACAAAUUAAAAAGACUUUUCUUCAAAGGAAAAGUUCAGAUGAAGAGGUGAAAGGCCCCGGAAACGAGGUGGAAAAGAAUGAUUGAGAUCCUGUAACUUACAUGAGCUUUAAAAAUAAAAAAAUUAAACAGAGACACAUACAAACAUCUAUUUCGGAAAACAAUACCGUAAGUUUUUAUAAUCCUACAAUUGAAGAUUGGCAAGCAGAAGAAAAAGUUGCUCACCACUUUGGACAUGUUCCCGUACCAAUAAUACAUCAAGUGAAUAAAAUGUAUCUAAAUGCAAAUGCCAUCGUCAACAUAGUACCAAAUGAGAAUUUUUAACAAUUUUAUCAGAUCCACAAAAAUCCGAAAAUUUUCCAAAUUAUUAGAAUCGCGAGGCUUAUACUUCUCCCUUGCGAAGGAUACUUCCCUGGGAUUAUGUAAGCAGCUUGUAAGCAUGUCACGAUUGCUCUAUCUUCAGAAUAUAGCGAAGGAGAGGAAACAUGGCACUGCACUUCAAAACAUUAGGUUGAAACCUCCAAGAUAGAUUUAUUGACUAAACCUUGCUUCACAAGAAAGCUGCAUCAUUAUCCACUUUAAGCACGACAGACGAUGAUGUGGUCCCGACCACAACUAAGACAACACCAUAUAUGCGAUAGUACUGGCGAAAAUUUAAAAUCCUAGAACUCUCAAAUUCAGCAUGCUUCGUCGAACAGGAGCAUUACUUAAAUCGACCCUUCAAGCAGAGUCAAUACAUACUUUAUCAAACUUCUUCAAAAUAGCACAGUCACGGAUAUCUUUAAUUUCAGGAACUACGACGAUUAGAGCAUCAAAGCUUGCAUGAACAUCGCCUCGAUGUGCAAUUAAAGGGUAUCUAAAUAUAGAAUAAUUCUUCGAAAAUAAUCGAACACCUUCGACAAGGAUGGUUUGAAAAAACAGUCGCCAGGCCUUAACCCCACGCCAAACAGCAGGACGCACUAAACGUAAUCGAAUUCGCACCAAAUCCAGCGCAAUAUGAUCAAACUAAAUCUUAAGCAAAGCAAAGAAAAACAAUGGCCGAUUAUGCCGAAAUACUCACUUGAGCGAGGAACUCCCCGAAUUGAGAACAAGCACAAACUUCGCCAUCGCUGCAAUUCGCGAGGAUACACUCCGCCCUUCACUCACUCCGUUGGCUUUUGCAGAGACGGCCCCAAUCCCGAGGUUCGGUACCCUACCACCGUGGAUCACACCAUGUCUGUUUCUCGUCCACCAGCCCUCAGCAACAGUCUCAUUCAUCCAUGUCUAGCUCAUCCAAUCUUCUCCCGCCAAUUUUAUGGGUGAACCACGUAAGCAGCCACCUACUCCUCCACGUCGGCACCCUCGAAUCGAGGACCGUCUGUUUAUUUGUUUAUUCUAGCUUCCAACAUCAACUAAUAUUUGUACUCUAUAAAAUUAUAACUAAUAUUUGUACUUUAUAAUAUUACAACAAAUAUUGUAAUGUAUAAUUUAUAAAAAAAUAUUGUAAUAUAAUAACUUAAUUUUUGUAAUUUUGGUUAAUAAAUUGGUAAAUGCCAUAAAAAUAUAUAUAUAUAUAUAUAUAUAUAUAUAUAUAUAUAUAAUGUACAUUUAAAUUGUUAUGGGGCUUUGCAAAUUAAUUGGUUCGAAGUAACUCCAGCUUGAAUUGGUGCACAAGUUGUUAGUAUUUAUAAAUGAUUUAAAUCCACACUCUUACACCAUGGAUAUGUGUUUUGCAAACACUUAUAUGAACGUUUUUAGUUCUCUUGUAUCAAUUAUAGGAAGAUGAUAAUCAUAUAGAUGUUCAUACCAUUAUAUUUUUAUUUUUGGAAAACAUACUUUUCUCUUUUCUUAAAAAAAUAGCUUUUAUUUUUUAUUUUUUUAUUUAUUCUCUAAUGGAAAUAUGUAUUGCUAAAUGUAAUCUAAAAUAUACCUGUAAAACUUCUUUUUAAUACAACAUGUUGGCAAUGUACAUCAAUAAGCUUCAAAAUUGUGUGUAUGUGUGUGUAUAUAUAUAUAUAUAUAUAUAUUAUACAUAUAUUUCUUGAUUUUUUUGUUUAUUUUUAAAAAUGGAAUUUAAUUUUUUUCAUUCAGGUGAAGAUGAUACAUUAUAUGCAAUGUCCCUUAAUAGUUUCAGAUGUCUUCUGCAACAAUGUUGAGCUAUUUUCAAAAUACCACAGUUUAAAAAUUCUAUGUUCUUCUUAUUAAUAUAUUUUUUAUUGUAAUUUUUGGCUAUUUUUUAAAUAAAUAAAAAUAUUAUUAAAAAUUAGUAUAGUUUUUAAACUUUAUUUAUUUAUAGAUCCCUUUGACUAAAAAUAAAUUAUUUUAAAACUUAUGAUAAAAAACAAUGAAUACUUUUUGUAAAUAGUUAUCUGAUCAAGGAAUUGACACAACUCCAAAACUCUUCAAUACAUUGACUUAUCUUAGAAGCCAAAACAUGAAAAAGGUGACAAAUCUAAGCAAAUAAACUUCAUUUCAAAACUAUAUCACAAGUAAUAAACAAUAACACAAACAUAUUAAUAGCCCUUACUAUCACCUAAGUUUGAUAUUAGAACAUUGCCUAUAACAACACUCUCACUUACAAUUUUUACCUUAAUCUCCAACUCUUAUUCUAAAAUUUGAAAAUUUGAAAUAAAUAUCAAAGAAGGAUUUUACUUUUGUUUCUUAGUCUUUAACUUAAGUGAUACUAAAAAAAAGACAAAAUCUAUGUCCAAAUAGACAAGGCAUUUGGGUGGAAGAUAAAACCAUUACUUUACUUUUAAAAAAUACUAAAAUAAAAGAUAUCGGAGGUAUAAAGUUUCAAUGAAGUAAGAAACAUUAUCAUUGUAAGUUCUUGAUGAUUUUACCAGGCAUAGAAAUUUUGGUGUACUUCCAAAAAAUGCCAUAAUGAGGAAUAUAAGAGAUAUGAAGUUUUGAUAAAGUAAAAAGUAGUGCCAAUAAAGUAUCUUUAGUUAAUUGCAGUAGUAAUAACAUCCCAAAGAACUAUUGAUCUUAUCACAAAGAAUUCAACUUAAUACUUCAAAACAUUUCCAAUUUUUAUUUUGAAGUCAAAAUUUGAAGUGACACUCUUGUUGUGACACUCUUGUUGUAGUACCAAAGUUACAUUUGAGUACCUUGUAUGAUUUAUUCUAAAGAGAAGGAGUGUAUGCUUAUUUCCUUUGGAGUUGUGAAGAAAUUCUAAUGUCAAGCCAACAUUUAUCAUAAAGUCCAAAAGAGAGGUUUGGCAAGGCAAGGAAACAAGUUAAAUAAAGAUGGAAAGAGAUAGCAAUUGGAGAGUAGUCUAUCCGCCACUGCAGCAAAAGACCUAUGUAAGAUGGAUUGAGGGUACUUUGAGCUUGCCUUUCUAAAUGAAACAAAGAUAAAUCAAAAGUGUGUGUCUAAGACAACCAAUAAGAUAAUCCCACAUAUCCUAACUUGAUGCAUAAAAGAUGAAAUUUAGAAAAACAAAAUAAUCCACAAUAUAGAUUUAUAGAAUUGAAAUUUGUGUGUGUGAAUGUUAUAAGGUACUACAAGAAGAAGAGGAAAGGGAUUGGAAAGAGAGCAACUUUAAAGCAAACAUCUUAUUUGAGUCAAGAAAACAUGACUUAGCACAAUUGUUCAUCAUGAAAAUAAACACAUUUCAUUUUCAAGUGUUUUGACAUCACUAUUGCAAUAUUUGAGAGGAUUUUGCUAUAGCAAGCUCUAACAUUUAAUAUAAUCUAUAUUACACUUAAUAGUACAAUCAAUUAGAAUAUAUGAUUCUAAGAAAUAGAAGUCAAAUAACAAGAAUAAUAUUAAAAAUAAUAAAACAUGGACAUUAAAGUAGUUGAUAGUAACCUUAUAUCUCUCUAAAUAAGCAAGAAGAUAGAAGCAAUUGCAACUAUUUUAUCUACAUGUCUAUAUUUAGUAGUAUCAAUAUAUUUAUUAUAUCAAGUAUAUUAUUGGAUUUUUUUAAUAUUUAAUAUAAACUGAAUAUCCUUAAAUUUAUUAAUAGUAAUAAAAUUAUUCAUAAAGGCUGAUUUUUUAAUAAAGUUAAAUUUUAAAUUCUUUUAUUAAAGAAUUAUUUAGUAUAAUUUUAUUAGCAUUUUUUUCUUUUGAAUAUAGUAAUAUUUUAUAUUAUUAAUUUUUAAAAUAACUUUAGAAUUAUAAAUUGCUAGUUACAUAUAUGAAUGAUUGAUUUUUACAAUAAAUCAUGUUUUGCAAUGACAUACUAUAUCCAAGCUCUUUUAUUAGUAUUUGCAGCACCAAUUUGUAAAAGGAGAAUUAAAAAUGCAUUAAGUACUCAAAAUUUGAUUUUUAUGAUUGAAGAUUUCUUCCAUAAUGAACAUUACAACAUCUAUAGAGUUGAAAUAAAGAUGUAGAAAUGACCAUGUUAAAAAAAACAUAGUCUAUAAUGUCCUAUUCUUUUUAAAUAGGAAAAAAAAAAAAAAAAAAAAAAAAAAAAAACUUUUUUUAAUACCGUCAUAUGUAUGUAGCUUUACUUCCACACCUUACACAUGGUAUUGCAAACUUCUAAGGCACAAAACCUAUUAAUUUGAUAUUUAUUUCUUUCUCACUAGUGAAAUUAAUAACUCUUGAAUAAUAUAUACCAACUCUAAGAAAAAUAGAACUACAUUGAUGUGUGUUCUUAAUUUCAAAAUCUUCUAUAUUAUAAGUAGCAUCUAAAAAAUCUAACAUGAAAUCUUACUAUGGAUAGUGAUUUAUGCAAUGUACAGCUUAUUUAAUAAUAUAUUUGGCAUUCCUUUACAACCUAAGAUUAACUAUUCAAUUAUAAAUGAAUUUUUAAGCCAUAUAUAUAUAUAUAUAUAUAUACAUACACACAAAAUAUUAACAUAUCAAAGAAUUACAUGAAAAUAUAAUCUUCUUCACAAAAACACAAAAAUAAUCAAAUUUUACAUUAUCAUUAUAUAUAAAAUAUAAAUUAAGAAUGCUAUGUUUUUAUUUAUAAAUUUAUAGUAUUUAUUGAUUGAAAUGUAUUUGGUUACAAUUUUAUAUAUUAUUAACCUAACAGUAUAAGUCUUAUGAAACAUCGAAAACUAAUAGGUAUUUUAAAAUAAAUCUCAUUUUAUUUAUUUUACUUAGUUAAUUAAUUGAUUAAUUUAGAUUCUUUUCUAACAAAAUAAUAAAUUAGCACUUUCCAGAGAAUCUAGCACGUUUUUCUUUAAGAAACGAUUAGACAAAACAUUCAAAUUGUACCUACAAGAUUUGGUAACAUUCAUCUAAAUCAAAAAUUCAUAAUCAAUUGUUUUAAAUACAUUAACCUACUUUAAACACAUUGAUAUUAGUUAAUUUUGAAUCGAUCUCUUGUUUUUAUUAAUUAAAAUGCACAAGAAUUAUAACAAUCUGACAUAUAACAUAUUUACAUCCUAUAUUUGAAUACAUAAACAAUAAUAAUAAAAAAUUACAUUUCUAUAAAACAACUAAUACUGAGAAGAAUAGAAGAAUACGAGGCCGUGCAAGUUUUUCUGGCUCCGCGGGUGCUUCUGGCUCGCAUGCUGUGAAAUUGUGGCUAUGGCGAAGGGACGACGAGGUGAAGCAGGAGGACGGGAGAGGACCAUAGUCGGCAUGGAGUGAGUGUGAGAGAGAAUAGGCGUUGAUUUCUUUCAUUCUUUCUUUCAUGCUCUCGCUGUUUUUCUUUCUCGAGAUGGUGCACGAAGCUUUGCAGAAGCUCGGGGAAAGCUGGAAAGCGGUCAUCCAAGUGCAAGCCCAAAAGUUGUGGCCAUGCAAGCAAGGCUUCGUGAAUUGAUCGUUGUCACCUCCACCACCACCACAACAAGCCAGCCAGCCAGCCAGCCAUCGAUCCAUUGCCAGGUCUGGAUUACACACUACCGUCGUGGUGUCAAUCUCUUAGAUCCUUCCUGAACUUUCUGGAAACGACCAAUUGUCGUGUGGAAGUGGGAGUUGUGCUUGUGGCAAUUUCUCUGCAAUUCGCCCCGUCGGUGGUGCAUUUCGUCGGAGCUCGUUGAUUGUUGUUGGGUUUUGGAGGUGGGUUUCGCGCGAAGGUGAGUGUUGGAGGAUAGAGAGAGGUGGGAAGCGGUGCUGUGGCUGAGGUAGAAAAUGGUUGCCGAGAGUGUGUUGGUGUGUAGGAGCAGUGUCGUCGGGGCUGGAUUGCAGAGCUUUGUUGGAGAGGGCGCGAAGAGAGAGUCAGCAGGGCCAGGGAGAAGCGUGUUUUUGGGAGCUCAGGUGCAGAAGAUGGGAGCGGGUAUGUCCGCGCGGUCGGAUGUGCGACCUGCAGCAGUUCCGAAAGCUUCAGGAGGUAUGUGGACAAUUAGAGCUCCUUUUCUGCUCUGGUGGAUGAGUAGUAGAUGGUGUUGCAUUGCCGUUAGACAUGGCUCUAGCAAAUUCUUCGUAUAGUGUUCCUUAGCUCACGCUGCGAGGGUUGAAAGUCCUCUACUAGGGAUUGAAGAACUGGGCAAUUCAAAAUUCUGGUUUGCAAUUGAACACACCGUUUUGCUGCGAUCUAUGACUGGAAAUGAAAAGACAAGUAAAGGAAAGGAAAGGGGAAAAAAGAAAAAAGAAAAAAGAAAACGGUCGCGUGAAUGUCGUUUGCGUGUAUUUUAAAGGUUUAGAAAGGCCACUCGGAGCUUUGUGCGUGCCUGUUGAGGUGAAAUGUUUACAUGGCUUAGUGCGAAUUUCCUCUCAAUAUGAACUCGGGAUUGUAUCCAAAAGCUCGAUAAUUUUUCUCGUAGUAAUCGUUUCCUCAGAUAUCUGCCAUGGCCAUCUAUGUACAGUAGAUUUGAUGCCUAGAGUUUUGUUCCACUUGUGAGGACUGUAUGGCUGAUUUUUGAGGAAUGAUGCAGAUGUCAGUGAGCAGACUGACUAUAAAACAUUCAGUGAUGAGGAAUGGAAGAAGCGUCUGUCUCAACAGCAAUUCUACGUCGCACGCAAGAAAGGCACCGAAAGACCUUUCACUGGGUACUCGUCAUUUCACACCAUGAUAAAUGCAUGCCAUUGGUUAAAUGAUCUCAAUUUUUCAGAGUUUGAUGGGCUAGGAUCACGGAUGAUUUCGUGCUUCGAUUUGUUCGUACAACCUGCUGUAACAUAAUUAGUGUUGAUGGUGCAGAGAGUACUGGAACACCAAAACAGCAGGAACAUACCUAUGCGUUUGUUGUAAGACACCAUUGUUCAGGUGGGGGCUCAUUCUACUCAUCGUAGCAUUCCAACUUCCUCCUUUCCUUAUUCAAUGUUCUUGAACGAUUUGAAAUGCACGAGUAGUUGAUAGCUUAAUCUGGCCCUACAUUGUUUUACCGAAGUGGCGUUGAAUGUUUUUGCAGCUCAAAGACCAAGUUCGACAGUGGUACCGGAUGGCCAUCUUACUAUGACACCAUAGGUGACAAUGUGAAGUCACACAUGGAUUGGUCGAUACCCUUCAUGCCCCGCACUGAGGUUGUGUGUGCUGUGUGCGAUGCUCAUCUGGGUCAUGUCUUCGACGAUGGGCCGAGGCCUACUGGCAAACGUUAUUGUAUCAACAGGUGAGUAUUUGCCCUGACCAUCACUUAAUAUCAGUGUCAAUCUCUCUAAACAUGUCAUUGUUAGUCAUGACCAUACGUCUUGGUAACUUCUUGUGAAUCGAGGUAAUGUUCAAGUGUUUUUUGUUGGUUUUGUGUGUUAGUUUUAUUAAUUUCUGAACAAUAAUACAUUAUCAUGCUACUUCUUUGUGGAUAUUCAAAGAUGCUUACAAGAAAGUCUUGAAUUUGCUUAAACUAACUUGUGCUUAUGGGAUGUGUUUUUUAUUUGCUCUCCUCUCGUCCAGCGCGGCGAUUGAUUUGAAGGCCGAGAAGCAAGAAGAGAGGAACUAGGUACGUCAAGGUAUAGGAAAGGAGGAAGCUGAGACAAUUCAAAAUACCAAAGAAUAUACCAGUUUCGCUGUAAUCUGUACUGGGCUAUAUCUCUUAAAAGUGACAUAUGGCAUUUUUUUCGAAUGCUUCUGAGUGUAUACACACCCUUUUAAAAAUGACGUGAGAGCUUGAUUUCAAGUGUACUGAGUGACCCUUAUCGUACUAAGGUUGAAGCUUCAGAAUUGGACCCCAAGUAUUGGAGCAGAAUUAUAGAAUUGUGUUGGUCGCUGCUACAGCCUGCAUGGAAUUGGAAGGACGAUGUAUAAUAUAACCGUACAAGCAUUUCUGGAGAUGAGAACGGUAGAAAUCAAAUCAAACCUGGCAGAGAAAACCAUUUAUUGGGUCGUCAUGUAGCUGAAAAAGUUUUUUUCUACCAAGUUUUUGUACUUACGACGACUAAAUGGUUUCUUUUAGGUAGUUCAGCACUCCUCACCACUUUGGCAGUAGACAGGAACUGCUUACAAAUACACUGUAUACAAUAUUAAUUCAAACUGGUUCUCUCAAAUGGUUCCCUUUUGAAAUGGACAUCUGGACAGUCGCCUAGAUCUCUCAUUCUCAUAGCAUCAAUGCUUUAAUAUAUUUUAGUCAGUUGUGUUGACAGUGUUGAGAUUUUACAACUUGGUGUAGGGCCUUGUGAUUCAACUUUUAUGAGACCUUCAAAUUGAUAUAGAGUUAAUAACUUGAGGAGGCAGAUUGACUGCAAAUUCUUUACAAACAAAAACACCGACCCCGAUUUAAAUACAGCUACAAACUUGUUUCUUCUUCUUCUUCUUCUUAUUAUUAUUAUUAUUAUUAUUAUUAUUGUUUUGGUUUUAUUCGUGAGAUUGUGUUCGUAUGUUUGUUCGAUUUUGUUCACUUAUAAGAAGUAGUGGCUCAAAGCACACCUUGACUCUUUAGUAAACUUUUGAGCAAAACUACGAAAUAUUAUUCGAAUCAGAAGACAGUCGUAGACCCAGUGAGGAUCAAAAUCACAUCAUAAGUGUUUACUACGGGAACAGUGUGAGUUUGGAAAAGAAAACAACGAGUGUUGAAACGUGUCUUCCUUUUCGUCAACAAAGCAUGAUGCAGUGAAAAAAGCCAAUGUGGUGCAACCCACCAUUCAGAAUUUGGAGGAGAUUGAUGAAGAAUUGGGAGGUUUCUGUCAUUGGCUGCUGCAUGUCAGAGAAACUGCAAAGUGAUGUCAGUGUGAGUUUGAACAAGAGACUGGGAAAACAAGUAUUAAAACAUGUUCUUCCUUUUUGUCUACAAAACAUGAUGCUAUGGAAAAAGUCAAUGUGGUGCAACUCACCAUUCAGAAUUUGUAGGAGAUAUGGGGAAUUGGUAAGUUGCUGUCAGUGGCUGCUGCAAGUUUGUAGAAACUGCUUAGUGAUGCCAGUGACUGAGGCCAUUAAGCCUGCUAUGUUGUGGACUGUUAGGUCAUGGUCUCAUGACUUCCAUGAAAACCACACCAAAAACAGGGACCCCACAACUCUUCCCUAGAAGCAUCUCUCUUAGUCUCUGCCCUUGUUCACUGCUUCAAAGUCCCUUCUGCAUGUCAUGGCUGGUGGUAUACUCCACUGCAGACACAUUUUUCUUUGGUUUUCUUACAGGUGAUCCAAGACUGUUGGUUAGUUUUCAUCUUGGUAAGGUGAAUAUUCUAACACAGAAGGUAGGACAACACCUAGCACCCAUGCUCCAUGAUGAAUGUAAACCAAGUUGGUAGGACUUCUAAUAUGCUUUCUGGUGUUACUCUUCAACAAAGUGCAAAGGAACACUGCAUUAGCAUGGUAAUAAUAUAUUACAACUAUUGUUCUGAUGAUGAAAUAUGUUUCUGUGUGUAUAUAUAUUUGUAUAGAAAUGAACAACAGUUCAAGUUUCUACACCAAGAUUGCUUUUGUGAUGGUUACCAAGAAGAUCUUUUUUAGUAUCCAAAUUUUAAAAAUGGUGCUAUUUCAUGUGAAAAAAAAAAUAUAUAUAUUUUUUUAAAAAAAAAUGUUACACCACAAUCUGAAUCUCCUACAUCCCCCUUCCCCCUCAAUCCUUUUUAAAUAAACAUAAAUGACACUAUAAUUCUUUGACCAUGAAGCACUCAAUUAAGAGAUAUGAGUAUGUUUUGAUUUAUUCAUAUAUACACACACAUUGAGAAAGAAAGAUAUAUAUAUAUAUAUAUAUAUAUAUAUGAAAUAUGUUUGUGUAUGUAUGUAUGUGUAUACAUACACACACACACACACACACACAUAUAUAUAUAUAUAUAUAUAUAUACAUAAUACUACCCAGCAGUCACAGUUUUAAAAAUAUGGUCUUGAUGUGUAAUCAAACCUCCAUUAGCUCACAUUUUAAAUGGUGUCUAGGUGAGAAGCUUAAUGUGGAACAUGUGGAAGAAUUCAAACUGCAAAAGGCAGCACUGAAUGAGUGACCAUUUUUCUUUUUUCUUCUUUGGUGUACAAAAUCAAUAAUUUUGAGGCUGGCUUAUUGACAAAAGAAGCUGAUGUUUUUCUUGCAUGUUUUUAGAGUACCAAUAUGGGCAUAAAGAGAUAAAGAUGUGAUGCCAAUUGUGGACUCUCAGCCUGCACCACACUGCAUGCACAACAGGUCCCAAGGAGGAUGGCCUCAACUAUGUCAAAGAAAGCUAUCUGAAGAGACUGACAGAGUUUGUUAAAAGAGCAUGAUUCUUGGGGUUGCCAUAUCACAUACACCUCCAAAAUUGUCAAUGCCAUAAUGACAAAAAAAUAAGACUCAAUCCCCCUUUAAGCAUGCAAUGGCAAGCUAAAGGACAGGCAACUGCCACCAAGGCCAGAAAUUGUCUUCCAUUGAAACCCACUCUUACUUGUCAGUCAGUCACUUCCAUACUAGAAAACACCCAUCCAGCUCACUCUCCAUGCCAGCCUUGGAAACAUCAAGACAACACAUGCACAAAACAGAGUUUAAAAUAAGCAGCAAAUGGAUUUGGGACAAUGCAAAUGGGGUGAGUAGCAUGUCAGUAGUGACAGCCCCCCACACAACCCAUUAAUCAGGAAAAGCUAAAAGCAGCACAAACACAAAUUGUGGAUGUGCAAAAAUAAGUCACAAACCAAGAGACAUAUAGAUUAAAAUGGAAAAAUUAUAUAUAGCCUAUCUGGAGCCAGGUACAUAGAUAGACUCACUCGCUCACACUAUUGCUCCACGCGUUGUGAUCCCUGUGAUCAGGGUGGGCUGGUUGGCCGGCAGAACUCGUCAGCUCUGGCAACGGGUAGAAAACGGAAGCAACGGGAGCCACGACACGAAGAAGUCUCGGAGACCCAGAAAUGGGCAGGCUUUGUCAACAAACAGCGGACUAACCGGGAGGGGGUGGGGAUGGGCUCAGGCUCAGGCUCAGGCUCGGGAAUAGAUAGGUUCGGAAGAAGAAGAAGAAAUACCGGGCAAGGCGGGGUCAGGUUAUGUAGGGGGAGGUUUCGUCGGGUGGGCGGGGAUGCCGGCGGGCAUUAAUCGGGCCCUCAACCCGACAGAGUUGUGCACGUUCACUUUCAGAGCGCGACGGGGAAGGGUUCGCGGAAAUGAAGCGGGGGGCGGUGUUGGAGUAAACAACUUAAAUUUGGGAGGGCUAGAUUUGCAGUGACCCGGCGAGUGUUUGAGCAGUGGUGAGCUGUUCCAUCCGGCGGUCUGCAAGGCCCACUGGUGCUCCGGCCCCCACCCCUGCCUGCACGUACUUCGAUGAGCACUGGGCCUCUCGCCGGCUGUUGGAUCUGGACCCCUCCUCCUCUCCCGGAACAUUCGAAGAAAUUGUCUUCCGAAUAGCCGGCCUAGGUUGAGUAGUGCAGGUGGCGAGGAUUUUUAAUUUUUAAUUAAAAAACAAUUCCUUAUUUUUUUCUCUUAAUGUGUUGGAGAUGCAGACUCACUUGAAAACGCAUUAUGUUUGUGUAGUCUUGGAUCGUAGGUUUUGUUUUUUUGGUGAGGUAGUGGCGAUGUGACGCUAGGGCAGUCUGGAGGGGAUUUUUAAAGGAUUGUAGAAGUUGGAAUUUUUUUGAAGCAGGCGCGCGGCAGUUUUCCUUUUAAAAGAAAAACAAAACUUCAAGGUUCGGACUGCUGCGCAUAGGUUUGGGAUGUGAUGCAUGGAGUCCGCCCGUAGUUUGGUGUUUUUUUUCGUGUCUGGUGUAUGUGGUUGGUUUGGAUCUGGUGGAGGACCAGGAAUUCGCGGCCGUUAAGGUUUGGUAUAUGGUUGUACGGGAAUGGGAGUUUCAUUUCGUGAGCCUACAUGGAGUCAUCCGAGGUGAGAUCUGCUUCCAGCUUGAUUGCUGAUGAUGAUGUUUUGUGAAUCACUGAUGCUGGGCUACGGGUCGGUACGGGAGUGGAAUUACGAAGUGGAUCACUGUGCGUCGCUCAUAUUUUUUUUUCGGAUUAGAGAGUCGCAGCCUUAUGAGUGGUCUAUUUUCGUGGUUUGUGGUGAGCGUUGCAGAUCACACUAAGGUUUAGGGUUUUAGUGAAAUCCUGGAUUGAUGGGCGUGAUACCUUGCGUCCAGGAGUGCUUAUUUUAUUGAUCCUAACAUGAACAUGUUGCGCUAGAAAUAAAUGACCGAAACAGGAAGUUGUCCGAGUUUAUGGCAUCACGUGAAUGUGAGAUAUGUCUCGAGUUCGGUUUCGUAUUUGUAUCGUUUGGUGUCCCGAACCCUGUCUGUCCAGGAAAUGACUUGGUCUUGCGAUCAUUAAUACCCACGCAAUUGAAAUGUUGAUGAGAAGGAUGUGAAUCAUAUAAUAUCACGAUCAGCUGGGCUUCAGACUUGUGAUGCGGUUGUCUUUUAAAUCUGAUGCCAAGAGUGACAUAUUUGUCGAUAUCAUCCUGUUCAUUGGUCUACCCAGUUUAGUCGGUAACCACUGGUAUCCUGGACUUCUUGAGGUUAACCUGGAGAUUAUUGCCGCUAUCGUCUUUGUAGGCGGGGAGUUUGUAACAGGAAAAGUUAGUCAAGGAGUGAUAGUGUAAAUAUAGCUCUGAACAUGCUCAAUGAUGAAUUCAGGUACAGGAUGAUGUAGCUUCUUCAGAGGGUUACGUGCAACGACCGAAGGAACAAAUGAUGGGCGAUUCAGGAGAAGCGCACAAUGAUGCUGAGACAUCCAAUGAGGAAUCCAGCAUGCAGUUCAAUUUUGUAAUUGAGGACUUGAAGCAGGAGCUUCGAAGGCUGGAGGAGGAGAACCAACUUCUGAGGGGUGCAUCCAAUGAAUCCUGCCAAUUGGUGGACGUUUUGCCGCUAGAGGACACGCGUCUGGAGGUGGAAGGUAGUGAGGUAGAGUUGUCAAUUCGCGAGGAUGAAGUCGAGGGGCUUAAGCCAGUAGCAGAGGUUGAGGCACCGAAGGCACAGUUUCAAAUAGUCAAUGAAAGUCAUGCUCAGUUAGAAUCCGAGAUAUCAGCUUUCAAGCACGAGGACGAGGAUGAGGUUUGUAGGUUAUCUAGUCAAUUAGAAUAUCUUGAGAAACAGCUCCGUGAGCUUGAGGUAGAGCACGGCAGUGUUUCAGUGAAGUCUAGAGAUUCAGAGUCCGCCCUAAACAAUGUUAAUGAGGAAAAUAUUAAACUGACGAGUCAAGUAGCGGUUGUUUUAGAAGAUAGACAGAAAAGGGAAGAGAAGCUUGUUGGUUUGCUGGAGACUUGUCAAGAACACGUCUGCGCUUUAGAGGUCAAGCAACAUGAUUUAUUGUCCACUAUUGAGAUAUCAAACGCUGCGAUACGCCAGCUUGAAUACAGGAAUGCUUCGUUGUCGAGUGAAUAUGAUGAGCAGAAGCGAAUCGCAGAGAGAAAAAUUUCGGGUUUGGCUUUUGAACUCCAGAUCACACGGGAUCAGCUUCUCGAUCUGCAACUACAGCUACAGGGCCUCCGCGAAGAAAAUACGCACGUUGUGAUAAAAGCAAGCAAGCUAGAUCAACUCGUGGAGGAGUUAAAAGCUGACAAGCAAAGCCUUAGCAGUGAUCUUGAACGACUUGUUCAAGAGAAGGAACGAAGGAAUGGGGAAUUAGAGGCUGAGCUCAGAAUCUGUAAGGAGCAUGUUCAGAGCUUGGAGGUGGAGAAAUCGACAUCAGCGACAUUAGUUGAUAGUCUUAACACCCGAGUACGAGAGCUAGAAGAGGACAACAAACAUCUCAUAGAUGAGUCCAAUGAAGCUAGCCAAUCGGUGCAGAAUCUUUGGGAACAGCAGUCACGGCUUAUUGAGGGUUACAACAAGCUUGAACAGGAUAAACUGGCAAUAGAAGCAGAGAGAAUGGAGUUAGUGGCUGGUAUUCAGACAGUCUGGGAGCAGCUGCGGGCAGCUCAUGAGCGUGAAGCACUGCUCACCUCUGACUUGCGAGAACUUAGUGAAAGAAGAGAUGUUGAGGAAGCUAUCUUCGAACAAAAGAUAAGGAGUUUUGAAGAACAGUUGUUAGCAUUGGACAAGGAAAAAGAUGAACUAAGCUCCAAGUCUGUAGAAACUUCCCAAGCCCUUGAGGCGUUAAGACAGGAAACCUCCCACAACAUCAAUACUUUGCAAGAGGAGAAGCGUGAACUUGCAGAAGAGGUUGCUAAACUUGUGAAACUGAAAGAGGAAGCAGAGCAAGUGAUAGACUUGAAGGAGAUUGCUUGGGAAACGCAAGUCCGAGGUUUAGAAGCUGAGAAGGCCGAAUCUAUCAGCAAGGGUGAAGAUCUGGAGCAACGCUUGCAAAUGUCAGGAGAAGAGAUAAAGAAUCUGAUGGAUAAAGUAGAAAAUUUUAAUCAACUCAUUCAAGAAUUACGAGAAGAAACGACUCGGUUGAAGAGUGAAAUUGACAAGCUUGAGGAAGUGAAAGAAAGGCAAGAAGGAGAACGUCUGGAACUAGCAGCAGAGUUGCAGGCUGCUUGGGAUCAGAUCCAAGCAGUUCGAGAUAGCGAGGCCAAUCUAGCCACAGAACUCAGUGAAGUCAAGGACCAGAGGAGCAAUGAGAAACUGAAAUAUGAUGGAUUAGUUCUGGAGCUUCGUCGGCAGCUACAAGAAGUUGAAGUGAAAAAUUCCGAAGCAAUAACUAAAGUUGGGGAAUUGUCUAAACGACUCAAUGAGUUGCGCAAGGAACAGGUAUUUCGUUGCAAGUUCCUUGAUUGAAUUAGGUGGUCUUGAAUCCUUUCUCUUGCAGGCGUAGUAUAUCUGGUCCUCAACAUCAUUGAUUUCAUUUCAUCCGUGCUCAAUAAAUUUCCCAGUUCGACUACAAUGCAAUAAGCUAUGGUAAAAAUUCGAAUAUGAUGUACUGCACCUAAUCGCUUCACUAUUUCCUUUAUUUUACUUUUGCUUACAGGAACUACAAGAUGAGAACGGUCGCUUGGCAGCCGCAAUAGCUAUGCUGGAGCAGGACAAGGUCAGAAUGCUGACCGAGAACGAACUUUUAUUUGAGGAGAAAAAAACUCUGUUACAUCGUGUAAAUACUCUGGAGUACGACAAAAACAAAAUGGCUUACGAAAUAGAGGAACUCAACCAAUGGCUUCAAGGGCCAGCAGCUGAGAAGAAACAGCUAGCAAAAAAUUUAGAUGAGACAACUCAGCUGCUCAAGGGUUUGGAACUGCAAAACUCUCAGUUGCAAGAAGAGAAGGAAAAGAUGCUAGAAGAUACUCAAAAGCUGCAUGAUGCGAUCAAUAUCUUGGAGAGAGAAAAAGCGAAGUCGUUGAUAGAACAUGAUGACUUUACCCGGCAGUUGGAGUCCCUUGAGGAAGAGAAACGCCAUGUUAUGAGCAUCCAGGAGGAAUCCAAUCUCUUGGUCCAAAGUUUGAAUGAGGAGAUUAAUACUCUCAGGGAGGGUUCCACAAGGAUGAUUUCUGUUCACGAUGUUAAUCUUAUGCGGAUUGAAUCCUUAGAGAAGGAAAAAUCUGACAUUGAGAGAGCGUUGGAAGAUAAGAGUGCUGAGUUAAGUCACUUACAUUUGAAGAACGCUGAGAAUGUGGACCUUCUUGUAAAGGUUGAAGUAGAGUUAUCGCAAAAACAGAUGGAGGUUGAUCUGUUGAAGGACCGUGUCCUUGGUCUGGAGGAUAGUAGUUCGAGCAUGAAAGAAUCACAAGAAAAGUUACUCUCUCAGUUGCAGGUUUUGGAGACCAUGGAAUCUCAGUCAUUACAGACAAUUCAGGAAUUGACUGAUUUAAAUAGCAAUUUGAUGGAGCAGCUUCAAAUUUUGGAAGUAGAAAAAGAUACGAAUGAGUAUCAGCGCAAAGAGUUAGAUUCUCAGCUUGUGUCUACGAGUGAUGAGAAAGUUCAAUUCCAACGUUCAUUUGAGGAAUCACGAAAUGCGGUGCAAGAGCUGCAGGUGAGAAACUCCGAAUUGAGUGAGACAAUUCGUGGACUGGAAGAGGAGUUGAUGAAACGGCAUGACGAAAUCCAGUUGAUGAGUGGUCAUUUGUCUAGCUUGGAAGAAGAAAAAGAUAAGCUUCUCUUUGAGCAGAAAAAGCUAUUCGCUCGGAUUGAGUUGGCGGAGAAAGAGGCAAUUGAUUUUAGGAAGUCGAUUGAUAGCUCGAAUUCUGUUCUUGGGAAGUUGCAAGCAGAGAACUUAGAGCAUAUCAGCAAUACCAAAUUUCUGGAGACCGAGAUGGAAAGAAGGCAAGUGGAGGCAGAGAGACUUGAAGAGCAAAUGGAGAGCUUGUCUACUGCACAUCAGAAUGCACUCCUUCAGCUCCAAGAGUUGGUAGAGGAGAGAGAUGAACUGAUCAAGGCCCUUGAUGCAUCCACUUUAUCUGUUCAGAAGCUCCAAGCUGAUAAUGUAGAGCUCUCAAGUAAAUUUUCUUCUGUCGAAGAGGAGUCGAAAAGACUGCAAGCACAGGUUUGGGAAACUGAAGAGAAGAUGGAGAGUUUGUCGACUGUGCAUCAGGAACAACUACUUAAGCUUAAGGCUUUUGAAGAAGGCAAGGCUGAAUUGGUGGAGUCUCUCAAUGUCUCCAAAUUGUUUGUUCAAGAGCUGCAAGCAAAAAAUGUUGAAAUAUCGGAUAGAGUUAAGUUGCUUGAAGAAGAGGUGGCGCGAAGUCAAGCUGAUAGACAGACACUCGAAGAACAGGUGAGGUCUCUGUCUACUGCUCAUCAGGAUUCACUCCUCCAGCUGCAUUCCUUGAAAGACGAGAAGGCUAAAUCGGUGAAAUCUCUUGAAGUUUUCAAAUUUUCUGUUCAAGAUUUGCAAUUAAAAAUUGUAGAGUAUGAGGGCACAAUCAAGGUAUUUGAGGAUGAGGUGGACCGACGGCAAGCAGAGGUGCGGAGACUCGAAGAAAUAGUAGAAAGCCUGUCUACCGCACAGAAGGACUCGCUCCUCCAGCUUCAAGUUCUGAAAGAGGACAAGGAUGAAUUAGUGAAUUCACUUGAUUCCUUUAAUCUACUUGUUCAGAAACUACCAGCGGAGAAUCUAGAACACAGCAGAAAAGUUGUUUUACUGGAGGAGAAGAUGGAGAGCAAUCAAGCAGAGAUGCAGUUGGCAGAUGCUGCCAGUAACCUUGAAGAAGUACAAAGACGAAAAGACAAGAUAGAAUUUCGGGAUUCGCUAGUGCAUAGCUUUGAUGAGAAGAGUUUUGGAGAGACGUCCAAGGAUCAUGGUUCACAUCUUUCAGGGCAGUCACUGGGAGAUGAGAAGGUUGAAGAUGCCUUAAUUUUGAAGAAUUGGGAAUCUGAGAAUUUGAAACUUAGUGUCACCAUGAGAAACCUUGAGCUAAUUAUACAGGAAGAGCGUCAGAAUUUGAAAGAGCAGGUUCAGAGAUUGGAACUUGAGAAACAAAUCUUUGAACAGGAUUGCGCUGCGAAGUUACGCUGUUUGGAAGAGGAAAAUUCUCAAUUGCUCAUAUCCCUUGAAGAAUCGAAACUCGCUGCUGGGCAUCUUCAUGCACAAAUAGCCUCUCUGGAAGUCUGUGUACAUGAUAUUGGGAGAGACAAAGACGAAUUGGCUAACCAGAUAAUUCUGUUACAAGAGCAGAAUGGUGACGUUGUUACAGAAAAGGGUCACCUUCUGAGUGAAAUGCAGGGCUUGGGGGAGCAACUGCAGGACUACGCGAAAAGAUUCCAGGAAGCUGAUUAUGAUGCAAAAAAGUACAACGAGGAAGCACUGGAGCUUGCUAAGCAGUUAGAGACAUUUAAGGAACAGGUGCGCAUUCUCAACAUAUCAUUGCAAACAAGCAUCAAGCAUAUGCAAGAGAUUGUAUGAAGAUACUUUCUUAAUGUCAUAACUAUAAACUAGAGCAUGUUUUUUGUAUCAGUCUUGGGAUUUGUCAAUAGUGGCAAGGAGUGGUCAUUUCUCAGUAAUUUGGAAUGGUUGCUUCGCUGGUUAAUGACAGAAGACUCACGAGAAUUCUAUUUUCAUUACUAGUAAUGUAUGUACUAGUCUUCGCCACUGUCAUAGUUGUAUAAGGGGUUAGGUUUCAUCGGUAUAGUCAUAAUUCAUAAGACAUUCUUCCUAGAAUUAUCCCGCGAGAAAUUUGAACGGCUUAUUCUGUUUUUUGAUACAUUUUUGAGGAUAAAGCAGCCAAGUCUGUUUUUUGGAUGAAUUAUGUUUGUCUUCUCGAGGGUUAUAUGCUUUCACGUGCUUCAAAGGCAUCUUGUACGCAUGCAUUCUUGUGUAGUAGUAUUGACUUUAGCAUGUUGACUCAUUAUAAGAUGCAUGUUAGUGUGUUGAUCACUUCGUAAAUUCACUAAACAGGUCACCAGUUCUGAGUAACGUCUAAUAGAUACAUAUACUCCAAUCAGAACCACAGUUUCAAGUUACUGAAACUUCGUAAAUUGGUUGUGUAUUUAUAAUUCUCUUAAUAAAUAAAGAGUAGAUAUGGAGUCAAAGAGUCGCUUCAAUUCAUUGGAUUCGUCUAUUAAAAUUCGAAGACUAGAACGUGCAAGACAUGUAUGGAUGUCUUGUUCUAUUCAAGAGAAGUUACAGUGGCUGGAUUUCUAGAGAUUUGUCGUAUUAUUAAAAUUAUUCCGUUUUGAAGCCUUUUAUCGUACUUGAUUGUAUUCAAGUAGCAUCUGAGGUUUGUUUCUGAAAUUCACUUAUUCUAAAUACUUAUUCCUUAUUUGCGGUCCUGGACUUUGCAGAUGGUUAAUUUGGUGGAUGAGAACUCAAACCUGACCAGGCAGCUGGAAAUGUCAAUGCAGUUAGGAUGCUUAUCCACGCGUAAUUAUGACCAUGUGAAAGAUCUGCAACCUGGUCUUGAUCGACAAAGUUUAGCUUUUGGGCUACCCAGGCGUAAUGACGACCUUGUGAAGGAUCUUGAGCCUGAUCUGGAUCGGCAAGAGUUAUGUUCUGAACAGAUGGAUGUUUCAGACUUGACUGUUGCAAAUAUGGACCCAAUGGAGGAGCUUCAACAGGCCAUUUUGGGCUGGGUAGAGUUUAUUAUGGCUGUUUGUCAGGAGCUUGCUAAGCUACUGAGAAGUGUUGGUGAAGAAAAGGAAAAAUUGGAACGAAAACAGGGAAUAAGUAACCAGAAGGUAGAUAUUUUGACAAGACUGUGUCAGGAGCUGGACGAUUUGAUAUUGAAUGUGAGAGAGAAGACGAAGAGAUUUGCUGAAGAGCUGAGUUUUCUGAAGCAGAAAUUGGUGAAAUCAAGAAGUGAGAGGGAUUCGCUCGAUGUUGAUGGUGAUGUUUGCGUCGAAAAUUCUCAGCAUCCCUCGGUGGGAGUGUUAGUUGAGGAUCCAGAGACAAUGCUGGAGCUGGACACCUGUCAGAAGCUGCAGUUACAUCACGAGGGGAAAACAGAGCUGGAAGCACAUGUUUGCAGUUUGUCUUCAUAUUUGGAGGAUUCUCAAGGUCAAUUAAAGGCAUUGGUUGUCAAGAGUUCCACAGGAAAUCCCUAUUUGCUCACGUCCCGAGCAGGCAAGUAGUUCUGACGCAUGGAGGAUGUUCCUUCUUAAAUCCUUGAAUUUAUGUUGUAGUUGCGCAGUUUGUACAUACGAUUGUGAACGCAUGAUUAAUUCGACCUGAGAUUUUUGUAUGCGUAUAUCAGGUCUGUAUUUAUUGUAGUGCCUAGAGACUCUUAUUCUGCUUGAUCAGCCAUUUCUAUGUCCUUGUAAAUAAUCGAUGUCCGUUUAUUUGAAGUGUUCUAGUUUAUAUGAAUUUUACUAACUGUUUUAUGGUGCAGCAGAUGGUGGUGAUCGACAGGGAUUGGCUUGCUUUUCAGCGGAUGGGAAUUGUAUUAUCAACUAUGGGAGAGAACUUAAAGUGAGAAGAGACCUUAAGGCUCUAGAGCACGAGAAGAAAGAAAAGAAAGAGAAUGCCACACAUUCUACAUUCUCUCAGGUUUGUAGCUAAGGACGAACUUCUGAGACUGUUCUGUAUUGCUGCUUAUUACCCUAUCUGAGCACGACCACGAAAAUGUGAUUAUUUAUUUUCAAUCUUCAAAGAAUGUUCCCAGUAGUGUGCAAUGUUUGGGGUUUAUGGAUGAAUACCACAACAUGUCCGGAGGCUGCGUUAAUAGAACUUGCAAUAAUUUGACUUUAAAUGUAGUUCGUAUCAUGCAAUAGAUGUCGCCAGAGGAUAAGUUUGUAUAGUCCUAUCAUUAUCUUAACGUUCUGCGACAUAGUGAUGCAUGUAGAACAGCCAUUUAAUAUAAUUAUUGACAUUUUAAGAUGCAUUGGGUUUUACAGAGAAAUCAAACGCCGGCACGAAACUUCAAGAAAUGCAAAGUCACCAUGCCGCAGCCCAAGCGCAGGUGGAUAUUCUGAUUUUUGUAUAGUGGAAGAGAAACAACAGCCGUUCGACGUUAAGUUUGGAUGAUCCUUCAGGAGGUGGUGUUUUCAUAGUGACAUCAGCAUGCUCCCAAGGUUUCACAUUUUGCGGUUGAUUUAGAGGUAACGCGAUUCAUCCAACUAGUGACAUACAGAAAUUCUAAUGAAUUUCUGUAUCUGAAUAACAUUCCAAUUUUUGUCUUAUUGUGAAUAGGUGUGAGACUCGCACACGAUUCAGAACUCACAGGUGACGAGGGCUUGUAUUGUUCAAUUGUCAUUAUUUUCUGCUGAAAAAUAUGUUCACAAUGAGAAUAUAGAAUGUGACUGAUAAACCUUGAGAGGAUCCCCCACAUUCUAAUGGAACAAUCUGCAUUAAAUUUGUUCUCAAUCCUUCGCUAAAAACUUGUUCAGGAUCCUUUACUAAACUAAUUCACCAUUUUGCUUCUGUUUGUUGCCUGCGCUAAUAGAAUUAUCAGUCAGGGAUUAAGGUAAUGUUUGAUUUGUAAUUACGGUAACCGAUUUAUUUUUCUGCUAAAGAUGAGGAUUAUUGACUGGGACUACUAUUACCAAGCUACGAAGUUCUUGUGUCUACUGAAUUUAACUGUGAUCUUUUUAUCUGUUUAUAGGAACUGCGGGAAUGGACUAAGCUUUACAGUUUUUUUUUAUGAAAAUAUGGACGAUAAUCUUUUCUUUUUAUUUAGGCAAGUGGCCAUUGGCUGCACGCCAGGACCUCAUCUUGUUUGAGGUUUAAGGCUGAGAAUUAAGAUCACUCGUGAAAAUUUAGUUUUGGAUAGUCUUCUCUUACGUCUUUGUCCCCCGUUCAGUUAAUGUGAGGCUCCCUUUUGUAAAGAUAGAAUAAACCCAGAGGGAUGCAGUCCAUUGAGAUAGUUGUGGGAACACGAAAAGUGGUGAGAGGUUUUUAUUAGGAUUACAAGUAUAGCAUAGGAUUAUUGGGCAACCUUUUCUCUACUCCAGGUGAAAAGGGCUUCAAUUUUACCAUCAAGCUGAAGACUGGUUUAAGACGGCUUGGAGCAUCGUAGCAAGGGCUCCGGAAAAUUCUUGAGACACAAUUGCUGAGAAUCAAGUUGUGGUGAGUCAUGGGCCUUUGGCUGAUAAUAUAUAAUCUUAUCAGUGGCUUAUGUUACUUGUCACCAGAUAAUGAGACGAAGUGUUGAACGCAGUUUCACGGUUCAGCUUUCCUCUGUUCAGGAUUGAUGAUCCCUUCCGCCGCGACCACAGUUCUGGUAAUCGCGCAUGUUAAGAAGUUAAAGUAUUGUGCCUUUUUCUAGUUACCUUCGAGUUCUAAGUAGAUUUAGUGAAGUCGUUUCAAGUUCUUGUCUGUUGCGUAGAUUUAAGAGUGAUCUGUUCACUCUCGGCAGGUAGUUAACAUGAAUACCUUAUCACGAGUUUUGCUCCGGUGAUUUUUUUCACCUAGUUGCCUCACUGUACUCUAUUUUCUCUUACCUAAACUUUACCCGGUUGGGUAUGUUCAUCUCAAGUUAACAUCCGCAAUCUUGAGGAUUCCCAGUCUAAUUUUGUGACAGUUAAAGUUUUAGGCGAUGAGUACUGCGUAUGUGGAUAGGCUUGAUAUGAAGUGGAAAUGUAGCAUUUAGAGGUCACUAUGUCCACAUUCGUUGCGACUAACCCUCGAUGUAGGUUAAAAACUUUGAAUUACUCUGCAAAGAUUUGGUAAUCAGUUACAGGAAAAACCACCUAUGGGCGCCUUGACUUGUCAAAAAUAAUCUCAUAAAUAUGUUCUUUCUGAAGUUUUAGAUUACAUGGUAACAAUUUUAUUAACCAUCCUUUUUUCUUUUUUUUUGGUUUUGUAUCUUUUUGUUCCUAUACCCUAAAUUUUAUUAUAAACCCUAUAUUUAGUAUAUGUAGUACUUCUACUAGUUAACAUUUAUCUUCAUAUUAGAAUUAAUCAAAGCAUUUGACAAUGUUUUAUGACUUUUUUCUAUUUGAAAUCAUCAAAGGUAUAUAAUUUAGUUUAGUAUUCAUUAACAUGUCUAAACUAUUAUCUUCUACAGUAGAAGUAGUUGUAUGCAUUAAUAAAAUAUCCAUUGGAUCUUUUUUGGUAUCACAAGUGUAUUUAACUACUCAUUAUGGUUAUAGAGAUGUUAAACUUUGGGAACUGUUGGGUGGAUUGCUUUUAGUGCGUGGACCUCCUUUGUUCAAAAAAAUAAUUAGUUUUGUUGUAAAUAAGAUUUUAUUUAUUUUCUAUUUAUAUUAAGAAGUAACAACAAUAAUAAACAUUUUUUGUUUUUCUGUUGUAUUAUUUAAAAAAAAUAAUACCCAAAGGUUUGUAAGGACAAAAGAAUUGAAGGUUGAGAUAACAAAAAUACAAAUGGAUAAGGAUAUAUCAAAUUUUGGUAUUAAAGUAAUAAGUAUAACAUGAAUCAUUAUUCAGAAUCCAAACUUAUUAACUUUGGCAUGGAGAAGGGUCUACUCAAUAAAAAAGGGUUGUAUACCCAAGAGUCCUUUACACUUUUAGAUUGAGAAAGCCAAAAUGUUUUCAAAUCUUCAAAGAAAACUAAUAAACAAUUCUACCAUAUAGUUAUUAUGCAAGGCUUGUUCAGCUUGCUAUUAAUAGGGCUGAUACUCUAUCCACGUAAAUUACAUUUGAAAAUUAUUUCAAAGUAUUCUGUAUAUUUAUUUUAUCAAGUAGAAAAUAAAAAAUUAUUCAUGAUUUUUUGAUCUUUGUAUACAACUAAAUAAAAUGCCAAAAAUUAAUUAAUUAAUGAACUAAUUUUUUAAAAAACUCAAAAAAUAAAUCACAUUAAAAAUAAAAAUUAUUAGUUAAACUUUGCUUUCUUGGAAUAAGUUGACUAGUUAAUUUUUAAAUUUAGAUAUAAAAAUUAUAAAUCAAGAUUUCUAAUUGGUCUUUUUUAAGAGCAAUGCUUUAUUUAUUUAUUUAUUUAUUAAUAUAUUAUAUUAACUACUUAUACAUUCUAAAGUCUAACUUAAUAAUGUAUAUAACCAAUAAAAAAUAUACUUUUGUUUUAAAAAUAAAUUUAUACUUUUAUCUUUGCUAUUAAACUUUGAAUAUGAAUUAUAUGUAUAUAUAUAUAUAUAUAUAUAUGUAUGUAUAUAUACAUAUAUAUAUGUUUAAUAAAGGUCAUAUUUAUCUCUAUUUUUUCUAUUUAUUUCUCAUCUCUUUCUUUUAAAAUAAAAAAAUAUUAAAUAUGACUAUCAUAAUGUGAUGUAUAAAAAUUAAAAUUAUAGGUAAUUAUGGUCUAUAUACUAUAUCUAAAGGUCUUGGUUCAAAAGUUUUAUCAAUGUUCCUCUCUUGAUGCAGAAAAUCAUUCUUUAGAUAUAGUAUAAAGUAAAAAGGAGAUAUGAAAUGGAUGAAAUAAUUAUUCUAUUAAAAGUUUAAAUAUGUCAUUUUAUAUCUUAAUUUUAACAGUUAUGAGAAGUAUUAUAUUGUUUUUCAAUUUCAACCAAUCAAGUAAUAGUAACCUCACUUUUUUUCUAUAUGGAAUAAAUAGUAUUGUAUUCUAGAAUUUUUCAACUUCAAUCAAUCAAAGGAUUUAAAAGUUGUGACUUCUCACAUUAUCUUCUAAGUUUCAAACUAACUAAUUAUUCUACUGUUUUGAUUAUCCAGACUACUUAAAGAAGUCUUUAUAUUGAUGAAACAAGAUAAAAAAAAAAUACAACAUUUAUAUCUUUUGAUUGGUUGAAAUCUUGAGACUUCUAAAAAAAACAUUUAAAAAUUGUGGUCUCUCAUAUUAUCUUCUAAGUACAAAGACCCCUUAAGUAAGUAGAAUUAAAUAGAUGAAAAUAGAAAUAGUUUAAAUUGCUUAUAUUUUUUUAUAAAAAAUGAAAAAAAAUUUGUAAAUAUAAAUAGGAUCUUUAGGUGUUUUAAGAUAUACCAUGUAGUUGAAAAGCUUCUCUUAGUUACUUCAUUAAUUGAUUUUUUUUAUUUUUAUUUUUUCAUGGCCUUUUAAUAAUAGAAUGUCAACCAGCCUGAAUCACAAUAUAUACGCAUUAACAAAGGAUUAAUUAAUGAAGUAACUAAGAGAAGCUUUAACAUUAACAUUAGUUGAAAAGCUUCUCUUAGUUACUUCAUUAAUACGCAUUAACAAAGGAUAAUGACAACAUUGUUACUUGAAUCUUAAGCACAAGAAUGAAGAAUUGGAUCAGUAAAAUACACCAAAUUUGCAAUGUCUUCUGACAUUCGGCGUUAAUUGGCAAGUACGAAGUGAAGUUAUGUUGAACACUUGUACCGAAGGCCAUGAGUUGAAGUGAUACCUUCCAUAUUUAAAUCACAACUCACAGUCAGAGAUCUUUCAACAAUGAUAAGAUAUUUUUAAUAGCAAUUUAAUAACUAACCAGUCAUGAUUAUCGUUCUUCGAAUAGACGGCAGCAUCAGUUGUAGACACAAGACUGACGGCGAUGAAGAAGAGAAUCUGCGGCGACCAGGUUCCAAUAGCACGAUUUGGGCACUUUAAACACGCCCUCGGCGCAAUAUACAAGUCGAUUGAGUUGAUCAGAUAGCAAACAUCUGAUGCCAGCUGUAAGUAAAAACGGUGUUUUGCUUGUAGGAAUGACUCAUGUCCAUACCCAUAUUGUGUGCACAUGGGUGCAGAUACCCAGGUCAUAUCUUUCCAAUUCUGGGGUGCAUCCUAUUGCGAUUGAUUUGGAGUAAACGUGAUCUCAGAACCAUACUUCUUCAACAAAUUUUGAUACCCAUCUACCUGACCAUCAUCAUAGUCGCCAUUCGUGCCGGGUUUCCACAUUACAAGCAAGCUUGCUGCAACAGCCUCGUUUGUGUCAAUAAAUCGUAUCAUGUACGUUGGGAUGUCCCCUCGGGACGACUUCCCAGUCUCUAGCUUGGCAGAGACAACUUGGUCGAUCAGCAGAUGAAAAUCCACGUUGUCUUCCCUCAGCAUCAGAUUAGCAUACUCUCCACGCCCAGGAAGUGUGUGAUAGAAGAGCUUCUCUAGAUUGGUGACGGAUUCCAACACGGCCACUCCGGUGUUCACGAUCAACCGAACCUGUGGGUACAAGCGCACACAUAUGUUGUAAGACGUUUGAGGAUUACAGGAAAGUUCAAUCAUACUUCACAUUCUCUUCGCAGAGGUGUUACCUUGAUCACUGCGCGUAAUAGGCCCAAAUAGGACAAUUGACACCUAAGCCCGAAGCACUUCCAUCAAUUCUGUAGAGGCUGAGUUUAUUCAGGACAUAUUUUAAACCUGUAGUAACCACCAACACAGUAUUGUAUGGCAGUGCCCCUCCCACUGCUGCAUACAUCCAGGCAGCAAGUGCAUUUGCUCUCGCUUCAGUUUCCCUAACUGGGACAUUCUGGAGUGCACUAAAGAUAAAGAAAAUUAAAUCAACAGAUGCAAAAGUGGUGUGCGUUUCAGAUAGCAGGAUCAAUUGAUCAUAUUCGAAUCUAGGAGCGUCAACUGGCAUCACGAAGCAACGACUGCCAGAACAGUAGAUUGCAAAAAGAAACUUUUUCAGCCAUCUCAAACCCAGACACGACCGAAAAAUUGGUGAAGCUCACAACAAUCCCACUGCAGAUGAAUGCGAGUUCCUCGCCACUACAUCGAACAGAAUACGAACACGGACAGAUUAGCCCAUCGUGCCAAAUCCAGGCUCAAUCUUGCGAGGAAAAUCCCGUAUUUCUCUAUCACAUUAGCGGUACAUCCCUGAAGUACAUUUCGGACAAUGUACAUUCCGAAUCGAAUACUAACACAAGCGAAAGCUAGUAAAGACGAACAACACAGUAUGAUCACUCGCCACUUGCGUAAUUCUUCCACAAUCCGAAUCCGAAUGUGCACAAUCCAACUCCGAACCAAGCAAUCCAAUGCAACGCAGCGGAAAGUGAGCAAGACAACCGUGAGAUUCUUACUAAUCUCCCAACUUAUGCAGAGCUGCUUUGCUUUUACUCUCUGCAUUUCACGACCUAGCAUUCCUGCACCUGUCUACCGCUAAAAAUCGAUCCGACGGCAAAUUGACUGCAAUGAACGCACCAUUGUUUCCCCAACUUGCAUUAUCAAACAAAUUUCCCAACUUCAAACCUACCUCCCACAUGACUAAGAAUGGGUGUGUUCAACAACUGUGCCAUUACUAUAAAGUCACUCAGGAGACGGCUGCGUGAAGAAUGUACCCUGAGGGAACAAACUUGAACAACCGAAGAGUCAAUCAGUUAAUUUUUUGCGGACACAGAGCUCAAUGAAUACCGCUGUAAAACGGUCAAAGCAUUCGCGAGAACAUUUCACAAGAAUCUCUCCGGUGCGCAGCACAAGACAAUAUCAAUUAAACCGCAUAAGCGCCUCUUGCCAACACCGUGAAAAACGACAAUAACAACAUCACAUCGACAACAUUGCCAGCUCCUUAACCUCUUCGACAGCAUCACAACCAUUGGCUAGAAAACUUCUCACCCGUCCAACUGAUUUCAAAUCCUCCAGAAAAACCUUCACAUCAACACCAGCUGCCUGCUGCUCCUCCUCCUCCGCCUGUCCUAUCACGGCCUUAGCCACAACCAUCGCCCCCCGAAUCCUCCUGAAAGAAAAACUCCCGUUCUGCGAGCUGCUCAUCGCGGCCACCAGGUCACUGCUCCAGCGACAACACUGCAGCCGGAGCGCAGGCAGAGCACAGGAAGCGCCGGUCUCUGGAAUGGCUCCCAAUCUCGGACCGAUCGAAGAGUCACCACGAUUCCCACAAGGAAUCAACCCACUGGGAACUACCACUACUACUCUACCUGUCCACGGCACAGCGGUGGCCAUAGCCAUGGCUAACUAUCGCUCUCUCUUGCCUGGCAAUGCAACUACCUGAUCCUUCGACGAUGACGACGACAACAACCUGCGGUUCACGUCGAGAUCAAUCCCACCCUCCUCCUCCUCACUCACUCACUCACUCACUUGGACACUAGAACGACACUGACCCACAACUGUGGCGCUCGUCGGGAUUGCGGCUCAGAGUCAGUCUUCUCAUGAGAAACUAACAAACAGACCCCCACUGGUGGCGAUGGAUCAUCAAACCAGCUCCGCCAUUGGGCCCUCCUUCACCGCCACUCGCUGCUGCUGCCCUCCUCCCACUGCAUCGUCCUUGGGGGCGGUGGGAGGGAGUGGAUUCCUAUUGGCUGUUGUAUGGUGCAUCUUCGCCGUUCAAUUGGUUCUCGAUCGGGUGGAGGCCAGCAGCUCUGGUAGCAGACCUCGGGGUUUGUGCGUAGGGUGCUGUUGAGGGGAAAUGAGCUUGAAAAAAGUUCCCUCCACAUGGAAAAAGUUUCCUAUUUUAUGAGCUUGAAAAAAAAAGCUUGCUUUGAUUUGCUUUAAACUACAAUGAAUUUCAUUUUUUUUUCUUUUCUUCUUUGUCUUCAAUUUCUUAGUUUGGGGGAUAUUUUUUAGUGAUCCACAUCAAGAGGUUACUUCACAAAAAUUUGAGAAGUCAUGUCAAAAAAAAAUUUAGAAAUUUAAAAAUAGAAUAUCAAAUUUUUAAUAAUUUUUUAUUAUAAUUUUAAUAUAUAAUAUUUAGCACUUUCAAAAUACAAAAAAUAUUAAUAUAUAGAUUGUAGUAUUAAAUAUAUAUAUUGAAUAAUCUUUAUAUAUAUAUAUAUAUAUAUAUAUAUAUAUAGAUAUAUUGAAUAAUCAUCAUUUAAUUUUAAACAUGUUUGCUAUUGAAGUAAUUAAUAAAAUCAUCAAUCAUAUUUGAUUGAAGAAAAGUCUUCUAUAUGUCUUUUCAAAAAAAAUUAUAUUACUAAGAAAACAAAAAAAAAAUCAAUUGCAAUAUUUAGAUAGUAAAGCAAUUAUCUUCAAAAAGACAUUUAAACUUUUAACUUGAAUUUUUAUGAUUUUAAUGAUGCUAAAAGUUUUUUUUUGAAUAUUUAUGAAUGUUUAUAGAUUUUUUAAGAUAAAAAUUUAAUAAGAUAUAUAUAUAUAUAUAUAUAUAUAUUAUUAAUACUAUAAUAAUCUAUCAUCUACUUAAUAUAUAUAAUAGACUUAAGUUUUUACUAAAUUUAUCCAUAUAUUUUAAUAUCACUAACAUACAUACCUAUAUGAAUAGGUAGAAGUAGAUAAAAAUAGAUUAAUUUCAUAAUAUCUUCUAGAAAAGCUUCCUAGAAGCUUCAUAGAUGUAGUUUUGACUUUAUACAUGUUUAUAGUUGAUUGAUAGGUUAGAAACUUAGUCAACAAGUUAACCACAUGUUACAGGUAUUAGUAGCUUGUAGAAGAAGCUAACUAUGUGGCGUGCAUAUUGAAAACUUGCCUUGCAAGUUAAGAUACGUGUCUUGCAAAGUCAACAUGUGUUGGAGGUUUUGUAGAAUAUUGCUACAUAGCUCUUAGUUAGAUAGUAUAUAUGGAGGCAAGAAUGAAUCCUUCUUUACUCUUAUCAAUGCUUCUCUAGUUAUUAGUCUUGUUUUAAGACUUUCUAAUCUUCUUGUCUUUAAAAAUUGCCAUUCUAAUUUAAUAUAUAAUUAUCUUUGAAUGAUUUUUUUUUGUAUUUUUGAGUGACAUAUAAGUGUAUUAAGAUAAUGCCUAUGGAAAAAAUUUAGAUUCUAUGCUAAAUACUUGUACAAUUGACGAAAGAAAGUAGAUCAGCCUUACAAUUAAAUUUAGAAAAUCUUGCUUCUAAAAGCACAAAAGAAGCAAGGAUUGAUAUGCCCGAGAAGUUUGAUGGAACAAGAUGAAAGUUUUGAGAAUUUUUUCAAUAAGUUAAGCUCUAUUUAAGAUUACAUCUUUUUCAAUAUUUCAAUGGAUUUAUUCAAAUUGCAUUCAAUAGUGCACUUUUUUCUAAAAGUGCUCUCUCUUGUUUUGCACUUUUAAUGGAAAAUGAUUCACAAUUCUUUUGUGAUUUGAAUUUAUUCUUAUAAGUAUUUAUAACCACAUUUGAAAAAAAUGAUUGAAAAAGAUUAACAUAGACUAAGCUCUUAUCUUUAUGACAAGAAUCACGAUCAACUACCAUAUAUAUUACUAAAUUCUAAAAUCUUGCUUGUGAUGUGGAUUGAAAUGUUAAAGCCCUUAAUAAUUAAUUUUGAUAUGGAUUGAAGGAUGAUGUCAAAAAUUUAUUAUUAACAAUGCUAAAAGCAGAUUCUUUAGAACAAUUUAUCAUUCAAGCCAUUACAUAUAAUAAUCGACUAUUUAUCUAAAGAAGAAUAAAUCAAGUAAUGAUAGCAGCUCCUAAGCUUUCAAAAAUCUAUUUAUUAAGGCCAAAAUCAAUAAAAAUUAAUAUUGUAUAUUUAAAACCUCUUACUAAGAAAAAAAAAGACUCAACACCAUUAAAAGGAUUUAUGCUUAUAUUAUAGAGAAGCUUAGUAUAUUGUUCAAUAUUAUUCAAAGAAGCAAUAUAAUCACAAAAUGAAGAGCAUGGUUGCCAAAGAAGAUAAUGUGUUGGAAAACAAAUUUUUUUCAACUACAAUAAGGACCAUGCGGUUCGAAUCAUGUAUAACACCUAGUAAAGGUCUUAUUUUUUCUUCAAAUCCCUCAUCUUGCUUUAUAGUAGAUGUAUGUUUAAGAUCUAAAAAUCAUAAAGUCUUUGCAUUAUUUGUUUCAGGAGCCUCAACUUAUUUUAUAAAUGAAGAUUUUGUCAAAAAAUAAAAAAUACUGUUAGUCAAGAAAAUUAAACCCAUACAUAUAGAAAUGAUAGAUGAUUGUUUGUUAUCUUUUGGAGGUAUUAUCCAAAAGAUUGUUCUUUUAGAUGUAGCAAUUAAAGAUUAGAAUAACAUAGUAAUAUUUAAUAUUAUAAAAUCUGUCUUUAAUUUGAUUAUUUUAAGAUUAUUGUGGUUAAAAAAAUAUAAUCUUCAAAUGGAUAAUAUUUUUCAUAGUUUAAUCCAAAAUUCUAUUUAUUGAGUAGAAAUACAUAAGUUUAGUACUUCCAAAUUUUUAUUGAUAUGUGUAAGAACUUUUAUACAUGCCACAAAAGAAGGAUUAUUGUUUGUUAUAUAUGCUACAUCCAUUUCUGAUGGUAGAAAGAUAUUAAGUAGUAUUUGUAGUCAGUAUUAAGAUUUCUAGGAUGUUUUUGAAAAAAAAAUGUAGAUAUUCUUCUACAACAUCAAUCUUAUGAUUGUUCAAUUGAUUUCCAAAAAAGAGCUCAACUACCAUUUAGACCAAUCUAUAAUUGAUUGUAAAAUGAAUUGGGUGCAUUAAAAGAAUACAUUGACAAGAAUUUGGCUAAAAACUUCAUAGUCAUUCAAAAUCUCUAAUAUAAACUCCUAACUUAUUUGUGAAGAAAAAAAAUGGAUCUUUGUAGAUGUACAUAGACUAUUGAAGACUUAAUAAGAUCACCAUCAAGAAUAAGUAUCUCUUAUCUUUGAUUUUAAGAUUUUUAGACUAAUUCAAUCAAACAAAGAUCUAUACAUAAAUGAUUCAACAAAGAGCAUACAACUUAGUCCGCAUUAAAGAAGGAGAUGAAUAAAAGACUGCUUUUUGAACUAAGUAUGGACUCACAAAUGCACGACCUGCUUUUCAAUAUCUCAUGAAUGACGUUUUUUGUGAGUUUCUUGAUGAUUUUGUUAUUUGUUAUUUAGAUGAUAUUCUAAUCUAUUCUAAAAAUAUAAAAAAUAAAAACUUCAUAUUUUUUAUGUGUCACAAAAACUUAUAGAUGCAAGAUUAUAUGUUAAGACGAAAGAGUGUAUAUUCCAUAUUAUUGAAGUUGAUUUUUUAGGAUACAUUAUUUAUAAUAAAGGACUUAUGAUGGAUCCAAAGAAGAUCAAGUCUAUCAUAGAUUGGAAGAUUCUAAGAACAAUAAGAGAUAUGCAAUGCUUUUUGGACUUUGUUAAUUACUACUAAAUCUUCAUCAAGAACUUUUUUUAAGUUGUAGCUCCACUUAUACAUUUGACUCGUAAAGACAAACUUAAGUGGAAUAAAGAAGUCAAAGUAUCAUUUGAUAUUUAUAAAAAAUAAUUUAUUUUUGCAUCAAUCUUAUAUCAUGCCAACUUCUUUAAGGAAUUUUUCAUGGAAACAAAUGCAUUAGACUUUGUUUUGGAUAUAAUAUUUUCAGAAAUAAGAGUAGAUAACAAAUUCCAUCUAAUAGCUUUUUAUUUUAAAAAAAUUUUAGUAGUAAAUAUCAACUAUAAAAUCUAUAAUAAAAAAUUACUUGUAAUUAUGAAUUCUUUUGAAGAAUGACAUCAUUAUUUAAAAGGCCCUUCCAAUCUAGUUACUACAUAUAUAUCACAAGAAUUUGAAGUACUUCAUGUUAGCAUAGAUAUUGAAAUAUUGUCAAGCUUGUUAAAAAAUGUCAUUAUGAAGAUUUGAUUUUAAGAUGACAUCUUUACCUACAAAAUAACAAGGUUUGACAAAAAAAAUUUCUAGACAUUUGUAUCUUGUUUCAAAAGAAGGAGAUGUAACUUUGAUCAAUAAAAAAUGAUUGUCUUGAAGCUUGACUAAUUUUAUCUUUAAGCAAUAAAAUCAACAUUAAUUGUUGAUUCAAUCUUUGUCAAGCAAAUUCAAUUGAAUAUGUUCUUUGAUUUUUUUAUUUAUGAUAUGAAGAAUAUUUCCUUUAAGUAUCAUGUUACUUUUAAAUUUAAGUUUAAAAAUAAUCUCUUCUAUUCCAAAGGUCACAUAUAUAUUCUAAAAAAAAACAUAUUUAUAUAUUUUUUAAGCACGUCACGACUUUUUAGCAACAAGACAUUUUAGGUACAAUAAGACUCUAAAGCUUAUAUCUAAAGAUUUUUAGUGGCUGCAAAUGUGAAAGAUUAUGAAAGUUUUUUUAUAAUCAUAUGAUAUUUUUUCAAGUUCAAAAACUCCUUGUCAUCAAUCCUAUAAACUUUUCAAAUCAUUGUCUAUAAUAGAACAACCAUGGUCGUUUAUUUCUAUAGAUUUGAUUAUAGAUCUUCUAAGUUCAAUAUUAGUGAUUAUAUAUUGUUGAAGAUCUAUAUUUGUGAUUGUAGAUUGUUGAAGAUCACCAAGCUCUUACUUAAUUACCACCACAUGAAGAUUAAUCAUAAUAAGUUGCUGAUAGUCGAAAGGCAAUAAAGAAUUAAAAGAAGUUACUAUAGUAGUGGCUAGGGUUUUAAGGUGGUGGCUAAGAUAAGAUGAAUGUAGGUUUAGUUGGAAGGAUGAAGAUGUCUCUAGAUGAAGUCCAUAUACUUUGGAUGUAAAUUCUAUCUAUAAAUAAAAAGAAUUGGAAAUAAGAGACAUCUUACUUCAUACUUCUCUUCGUGCAUAAAUCUUGCUGAUGCUAAGUGUUUGUAGCUUUUAGACUUCUUUUCUUCAAUAGGUUAUGGGUCCACACACAUUUUCUUGAAUUUUUUGAAGUUCUUUGAAGUGAUUGUUGAUGUGUGGAGUAGAUCAAGUUGUUGCUGCUGAUGUUAGGAUUUAGAAGUACCUAACUUUCAGAUUCAGAUCUAGAUCUAGAUCUUAAUUUACUCCUACUUGUGGUCAAGAGCAUUUUUGGUGUUGAUAUUUGGUUUUUCACCUUAAAAUUUUUUUAUAGAAUACUUAUAUUUUACUUUUAUUGAGAUAGAUCCUUUGUGGUCUAACUUUCUAGUUUCAUGUCGUAAAGAUACUAAUUAUGCUUAAGAAACCUCUCAUGGUGUAUAGAAGUAUUUUGUAAGCAUAAGUGUGAUAUUUGAGUGACAAAUCAGAUUUGAGAUAUUUAGAUAGGUCAUUAGACUUGUGAAAAUUCUUAGAAGUGAAGUUGAAAGUGUUUUUGAAAGUAAGAAGACUAAUUUGUUCACAAAGAAGGAUUUUGUGAUUCUAAGGCAACAAUACUUUCUUUUUUGUUUUAAGAGCAUUAGGACUUCUUCUUUUAAUCUUUUUUGAUACAUUUCUCCCUUAGACAUGGCUUCAAGUAAGGGUGAAGGAUUGAAAGUAAUUGAGAAGUUUAGAGGUAAAAAUUUCUAUUAUUGGAAGAUAAAAAUGGAGCUUUUGUUGAUAUCUUUGGAUCUUUGGAAUAUUAUAGAUGAAAGUGAAGAGACUCCAAGCAUAGAUGCUGAUAUGAAGGAGAAUAAAGAGUUCAAACGUCGUGAAAAGAAGGCUUUUGGAUUGAUUGCAACCAAUGUCGAUGAAGCCAACUUCUUCUACAUCAUCUCUUAUAAAAGACUAGUGGAAGCAUGGAAGACUCUUUGUAAUAUCUAUGAGAGUAAGAAAUUAUCCAAUAUCAUCUAUACAAAAAUUAAGUUCUUCACUUGCAAGAUGGAAGAAGAUGAAGACGUCAUGGCUCAUGUCAAUAAGAUAAAGGCUCUUAUAAACCAACUAGCAAUUGUUGACAAGUCUUUAGAAGAAAGUGAUAUUGUCAUGAUCUUGCUGAUGAGCCUUCUUAAAUCCUACAACUACCUUAUUGUGGCAUUGAAGUCUAUUAAGCUAAAAGAGCUUUCAAUGGACUAAGUGAGAGCAAGACUUACCUAUGAAGUAACUAAGAAGAAAGAAAAGGAGUCCCAAAGUGAAGAUUCAAUAUUCUACUCACAUCAAGGCAAGAGCAACUAUUCAAAUCAAUAAGGUAAUAUCAAAUCUUGCUUCAUUUGUGACAAAGUAGGCCAUUUUGCUCGAAAUUGCUACAAAGGCAAAAAAAUGGAGAAGGAAAAUAAAAAUAGUGUGCAAGAUGAGUUUGGAGGACAUGAUUAUGCAUUCAUGGCAACAAAUAGGACCUCUAUGGCUGCCAUGUCAAGAUAGAUUGUGGAUUUAGAUUAUUCUAAGUAUAUGACACCUUAUAAGUGUUUAUUUGAUACUUAUGAAGCUAUUCUAGCAUAAAAUGUUGUGUUGGCAGAUAGUGGCACAUGUGAAGCUAUUAGAAUUGAUUCUAUUAUGGUGGAAGUGGUUGUGAAUGGACAAAUUAAUAGGAUCAGAUUCAAAAACGUCCUUCAUGUGCCUAAGAUGAAGCAAAACCUACUUUCGAUGAGUAAACUUUUAAUGGAAGGUUUUAAAGUUUAAUUUGACAUGAAUGGAUGUUUUGUAAGAACAUUGAGUAGAGACAAGGUCUUCAAAGGCUUUAGAGAUGAAAACUUAUAUGAUCUCAUUUGUAAGAAGGUGAAUGGAGUAGAGGUAGCUGCAUUUGCUGAGUUUAUAUCAAAUCAAGACAAAUUGAAUAUAUGGCAUCAUUACUUUAGCCAUUUGAAUGUGAAGAAUAUGAAAGAGAUCAAGUCUAUGGUAAGUAGCUUAGAUCUUGACAAUACAAGCCAAAAUACAAAACAACAUAUAUGUGAAGGAUACAUAUAAGGCAAACAACAAAGGACCUUAUUUCCAACUAAUAUAGCAAUAUGUGCUACUAAGUUGCUGAAGAUUAUCCAUUCUAAUGUAUGUGGACCUAUGAAGAAUAUAAGUAUUAGAGGAUCAAGGUAUUUUGUCACUUUCAUUGAUAAUUAUUCUAGAAAGAUUUGGAUCUAUAUUCUUAAAGUAAAGGGUGAAUACUUUUGGAAGUUUGAAGAGUUUAAAGUAUUUGUUGAGAAACAAAGUGAAUGCAAGAUUAAGAUGAUGCGUACAAACAAUGGAGGUGAGUAUAUGUCUAAGAAAUUUAAUGUUUAUUUGAAGAAUGAAAGAAUUGCUAGACAAACCACAACUCCAUAUAUUCUAAAACAAAAUAGUGUUGCUGAAAAGGCAAAUUGAACCAUUGUAGAGCUAACAAAGAGUAUGCUUCAUGCUCAAAACCUUGGUUAUGAGUUUUGGGCAUAAGCUAUGGUGAAUGCAAUGUAUACAAGAAAUAGUUGUCUAACAAAUACUCUUGCAUCAAUGACAUGACAAGAACCUUGGAAUGGGAGAUAAUCUUGCAUUUCUUAUAUGAGGACCUUUGGUUGUAUUGCAUAUGUAAAAAUAUUAGAUUGUAUGAGGCCCAAACUUGAUGCAAAAGGUACAAAGUAUGUGUUUCUUGAUUAUUGUGAAUUUACUAAGGCAUAUAAGCUAAUAUGCUUGAAAACCAAAAAUGUCAUCAAUAAUUGUGAUGUUGAAUUUUUAUAGCACAAGAGUGCUUGUGAGCACUUAGAGAUGUGUUCAAAUAGAAAUAAUAGUAUAUUUGUAGAUACAUCUUUGAAUUCAGCAAAGAAACAAGAAAAUAAAGAUAAUAAAGAUGAUGAAGAUGAAAAGCCAAUAAUUGAUGAAAAGAUAAAGGCUCCUAUAAUUUUUCUUUGAGAGAAAGAAGGCAACAUGGUGAAUGGUGGAAGGAUCACAUCUUUCCUUAAGUAAGUGAAGAACAUGCAAAUAUUACUCUUCUUGUUGAUGCAUUAUCUUUAAUGAUGCAUUAAAAUCCCAAGAUGCAAUCAAAAAGGAGAAGGCUAUAGAAGAAAAGUACCAAUCUCUUAUAGACAAUGGUACAUGGGAGUUGACACCUCUUCCAGUAAAAUGAUCUAAUAUUAGUUAUAAAUAGGUAUUUAGUAUUAAAAAGAGAUACAAAUGAUAGAAGAUCCACAAUGGGAUAUGUCUUCUUCAUUGGACUGGGAGCUAUUUCAUGGAAUUACACAAGAUAACCUAUGAUUGCAAGAUCAAUGAUGGAGGUAUGGUACAUGGUUGCAAGUCAUUGUGCAAUGGAGGCAUGUUAGGUAAGGUAACUCUUAGAAGACAUUGGACUAGUACAAUUAAAAGCAACUCUAAUUAUGUAUGAUAAUCAAGGAUGUCCUAUAUUUUUCAAGAAUCCAAAAUACCAUUGAAGGACCAAGCACAUUGAUAUUCAACAUCAUUUCAUAUGAGAGAAGAUUAAAGAUGGAAUAAUAGAUAUGAAGUAUUGUACUACAAAUGACAUAGUUGCUGAUGUGCUUACAAAGGCAUUAGUAAAGGAUAAACAUUACGAGUUGAUAAAGAAAUUAGGAUUGAAAGCCUUUUGAAAAUUAACAAAGUAAAAGUGUUGAAGAUCAGCAAGCUCCUACUUAGUUAUCACCACAUGAAGAUUAAUCAUAAUAAAUUACUAAUAGUCAAAAGGUAGCAAAGAAUUAAAAGAAGUUACUAUAGUGGUCGCUAGGAUUUUAAUGCGGCAACUAAGAUAAGAUGAAUUUAGGUUUAGUUGGAAGGAUGAAGAUGUCACUAUAUAAAGUCCAUGUACUUUGGAUGUAAACUCUACCUAUAAGUAAAGGGUGUUGGAAGUAAGAGACAUCUUACUCCACACUUCUCUUUGUGUGCAAAUCUUCAUGAUGCUAAGUGUUUGUAGCUUUUAGACUUCUUUUCUUCAAUAUAAAUUUCUUCACCAAAAUUACACAUUUUGUAUCAUAUACAAAAUCUAUUUUAAUUAAAGAAAUAGCUAAGCUUUUCUUUGCCAACAUCUAUUGCUAUCAUAGAUUGUCAAAGGAUAUUAUAUCAAAUAGAGGGAUAUAAUUUGUAUCAAGUUUUAAAAAAAUCAUUUUCAAGAUUUUAAAGGUGGAUAUAAAAUUUCCUUUGGCCUUUUAUCUUCAAAUUGAAGGGCAAAUGAAACGAGUGAAUUAAGUUCAAGAGAAGUAUUUGAGAUAUACCAUCAACUAUUAUUAAGAUGAUUGGAUAAUUUUUUUGCCAUUGAUAAAGUUUGUAUAUAAUAAUUUUAUAUAUUUUUUUAUUCAAAAAAUAUCUUUUUUAAUUAUAAUUAUCAUCUAUAAUUAAAUAAUUUUAACUUUUAAAAAAUUAAUAAUUUUAUGAAAAAAGAUUUGACAAAUUAUUUGUUAAAACUACAUAUAACAAUGAAGGUAUAAUUAAAAGAAGCUUAAGAAUGACGAAAGACCAAUAUAGAUGCAUAUUGCAAGGAACAACCACAAUUUAAUAUGGAUGAUAAGAUAUAGUUAUUUUAUUACAAUAUCAAGACUCCUCGCCUUUGUGAUAAAUUAAACUAUUGUAGGCUUGGACCUUUUCCUACUUGUGAAAAAAUCAAUCAUGUUGGUUAUUGAUUACAUCUAUUGGAGUCUGCAAAGAUUCAUUCCAUAUUCUAUAUGUCUCUUCUUGAGCCAUAUAAGAUAGUAAAUAUCUCGAGAAGAAGACAAAUACCACCUUCUUUUAUAGAAGUGAAAAAUAAUCAAAAUUUUGAUGUGAAAAAAGUCUUAGAUUCAAGGCAACACUAAAAUAGGUUAGAAUAUUUUGUUUAUUGGUACAAAUAUGAUAUUAGUAAAUGCAUAUGGGAGCAAAAAAAUAAUCUUGCAAAUGCUGCAAAGAGGGUUGAAACUUUUCGUUGAUAACAUCCAUAAAAACUAAGAUGAAAAAUAACAAGUUCCAAGAAAGAUGAUGGAUUCUCUUAUAGAACUUUUUUCUAAAAAGAAGAAUAAUAUCAUUGAUAUUCAUAUUUAUUCCAAUAAUUAUCUAUAUGAUUAGGUAGAAGUAAGUAAAAGUAGAUUAAUUUCAAAAUAUCUUCUAGAAAAGCUUCCUAGAAACUUCAUAGACAUGGUUUUGAUUUUAAAUAUGUUUGUAGUUGAUUAAUAGGCUAGAAACUUGGUCAACAAGUAAAUCACAUAUCACACAUGUUGAUAGCUUGUAAAACAAACUAACUAUGUGGCGCUCAUAUUGAAAACUUGCCUUGCAAGUUAAGAUGUAUGUCUUACAAAGUCAACAUGUGGUGGAAGUUUUGUAGAACAUUGCUACAUCUUUCUUUAUCAUUGUUCACUGAUUUUCUAGUCUUUUUGAGUGACUUAAGAGUGUAUUGAGAUUUUUUUUCUUUGAAAUUUAUAUCUUUAACAUUUAACCAUAAUAAAAAUAAAAAAAAUCUCUAGAUUCAUUUUUCCACUUUUGAAUUUGCAACCAAUGAAAAGCAACCACAUUCAUCAUGAUUACCAUAUUCUUCAUUAAAGAUGGAUUGAUUUCAUAAAAUCAUAGGUCUAUUGAACAUUCUCAUAUAUAUAUAUAUAUAUAUAUAUAUAUAUAAGAAUUCAUAUAAUGAUUAAUUCAAUCUUAUGAAUAUGGCUUAAUAUAGAUGAUGUGGAUCAUCAUUCUUUAUUAAUAUAAGAGGGAUUCCAUUGUUGUGUUAUGUGUAUUCUUGCUUAAAAAUGCAUUAAGCACAUGGUUGUAGAAGAUAAGUAGAAAUAUAACAACAAAAUCCUAUUAAAACUAAUAAAAAUUUAAAUAAAUUCUAAAAAAACUUUAAUAACUUUAACCAAAUUUUAGUCAAUCUAAAAAAAAUUAAAAGAAGUUGCAAAAGAAACAUAAAGAAGUGAUAAAUUAAUUUCAAAAAUAAUUUUAAAAAAAAUCCUAAAAAAAUAUAAAACUAAUAUUUUUUAGAAAUAAUAAUAAUUUUAAUGAAAUACUAAAAAUAAAAAUUUAAGUAAAUUAUAAAUAAACCUUAAUUAAACCUUGAUUAAACCUAAUUAAAUUAUAAUCAAAUUCUAAAUCCUAUAAGAAGUAUAAUAAAAUCCUAAAGAAUCCUAAUCAAAUCCUUGAUCAAACCAUUAUUAAACUCUAAUAAAUCUUAAGCAAAUUUAAGUCAAAUAUUAGUAAAACCUUAAUGAAUCCUAAUCAAAUCUUAAAUCAAAAUCUAAUGAAAUCCUAAUGAAUUCUAAUCAAAUUCUAGAUUAAGCCCUAAUAAAAUCUUAAUAAAAUUCUAACCAAAUUCUAAUUAAAUUCUAAUCAAAUUCUAAAACUAAUGAUUGAAUUAUUGAUUUCAACUCAAAAUUUGCAUAUUUUUUUAUAAUUAAGUAAAAAAACAAACAUAAAAUAUUUGAAGAAGAUAAAACUUAUUAAAUAGAAAAUAAUUCCUAAAAUCCGCUUGAGUUUGGUUAGCCUCUUUUUUUAACCUUGAUGCUAAUAUUCUAUAGCCAAAAUCUUUAAAUUUUAUUAUUCAAUAGAUUUCAAACUUUUUACAAUAAUUAAAAGUCAAAUUUAUUAUUUGUGCUCAAAAUUUUAUUUAAUCCAAGUAACAAAUUGAUAGUUAUCUUAGAAAUCCUCACUAAUCCUCUAAAUUCCAAUUUCCAAGAUCUCAAUAUGUUUGAGCUUCAAUAAACUUUGAACAAACUAUUAAAUCAAGCCCAUAAUUUGUAAUAAAAAUUAUGCAUAAUAAUAACCACUUAAUCACAAAAUUUCAUCCAUAGAUCAUGUAUAAAUUUUACAUAAUUAUCCAAAGUAUCAACUCUUUGAAUUUCUUAAAUUCCAAAGUUAAUAAAAAAUAACCCUAACUUUUCAAAGCCUUUAAAAAGUUGUUAUACAUUCAAAUCAAGUGCAUGUAAACAAGCACAUGGUAUCUCUAUUAAGAGGUUGAAAAAAGAUUGAAAUAACUUAAUCAUAAGUUCUUAUAGAGGAAUUGUAUCACAUGAGGUGUAGCAAUGUCUUGAUGCUUGCCAAAGUUGGAGAUCUAGCACUAGACAGUAAGUACAAAUAACUAUGUAUUUUUUUUUUUUUUUUUUGUUUAAAGAAGUAUAGCAGUUCAUGCAAUCAUUUUUCUAAUUAAGCUUAAAAACUAUUGUUAUGCAUAGUAGGACAUGGUUACUUAUUUAUAAAAGACAAACUAGGAAGAAAUAUAGAAAAAUUAGCAAUAAAACUCUAUGGUCAGCUAUAGUAUUAUAGCACCAUGGUAGUCAAUUAUCUUCCAUUGUAAUUAUAUCCAUGGCCUGCAAUGCAUUAAGACUAGUGCCAACCAAAUAAGAGUACAAUCUCAAAUUCCUUCCUUUUAGACUUUGAUUGCUUUAUUAGGCAUUUACAUAAUUCUCUUGCAAAUUAUUAUUUUUUACAAAUAUCAAAAAAAUAAGACAAAACAAAACAAAAACAUUUAGCCUCUAAAAAAUCUACAAAAUAUGCAACAUGACAAUGAAUUUGAUAUAUUAAUUCAGCCAUACAAUGACAAUACAACAUUGCUAGCAUAAACCAUGUAAAAAUUCCAUAGAAAAGCCAUUUGAACUUACAAAAAGUUUAGAGGAUCUGAAUUGGGUGAGAUUUAAUUUAUUUUUUUCACAAUCAACAAACUCUUUAUUUAAGUUCAAGAAAAUAUUUCUCAAACUAAGCUUAUUUUAUAUAUGUUUUGGUCCCUACACAAAUGCCAUCUAAGUAAUUAAUUGUAUUUGUUGGGUUGUUUGGAAUGAAAGUCCUCGUGAUGCCUAGUCCAUAAGUAUGGCCAAUUGUGAAGAAGUUGGAAAAAAAUACUACCUAUAUUUAUACAAAUAAAUUCUUUUCAUCAAAAUAAAAUACUUUAAAUUUUAAGAAAGGACAAUGCUUUUCAAAGGAAGCUCUAAUUGUGAUAGAGCCAUUUGCAAAGUAUUUACAAAUCUAAGGGCAUCAUUGUAGAUAAGAAGUGAGCAAUUAAGAGGUUUUUGACAUUCUCAAGCAUCAAAAUGGAAUUUGGAUUUAAGGCCCAUCUUUGACCCAUUAGAUAUGUAUGAUGCAAAUAGCAUCAUGGUAGCUGAACCAACCAACUUUAAAAGGAAUGAGGUCGGAUAUAGAAGUAAAAGAUGGAACUACCCUCUACACUCAUGAGGAGAGUCUUGCGCAGAGGAGAGUCUUGGGCAGUCUGGACAAGGUUGUCUUCUGCACUCGUGAGGAUAAUGAUCUAGUUCAUUAGUCAUGAGUACAUUGCAUGUGAUAGUGUAACAAAAGUCUGAAUUAAUCAUAACAUGAACAAGGAGGUGUAGCUUUAACAAAAUUGGAGUAUAACUUUAACAAGUUUCUAUAUAUAUAUAUAUAUAUAUAAGUUUAAUUUUAAAAAUUAUUGAUAUUUCUAAUAUAUAUAUAUAUAUAUAUAUAUAGAUAUAGAUAUAUUUUUUUUAAUUCAUUUAUUUGGUAGUGCUAAUACCACCACAAUUUUUUUCUACUGCUAUUAUAAUCCCCUAUUCACUACAUGCUACCUUUGUUCAAUACCUUUUGAACUAAUAAAAUUUUCUUUAUUCAAUAUCUUUUAAACCAUUUGAUUGAACAUGAUUUUUGAUUGGAAGAAGAAGAAAAGAAAAAAAAAAAGAAAAAAGAAAAAACUUAAAAACCAAGUAAAAAGUUGUGGUGGCAAUAACAAAAAUUGACACUAUUUUUUUUUCUUUUCAAAUUAUAUAAAAGAUAUAUUUAAUUAUAAUAAAAAAAUAAUUUAAAAUAUAAUAAGUAUAAGAUUGUGGUGGAAAUAGCAAAACCUAUAAUGACAUAUGGUGAAUGGCAAAUUGUGGUGGUAGCAAAACGUGAGUUGGUAUUAGGAAUAUCCUAUAUAUAUAUAUAUAUAUAUAUAUAGAAUAUUUGUAAACUUUUUAAGUAUUCUUGGAUCAAAAAGAAGGAGCAAAAUAAAAGAAAUUCAAAGAUUGCAACUUUUGUAAAAAGUAUUUCAAAAUAAAUAGCUCUAUUGUUUUACUCUUGUGAAUCACUAUGAUCAUGUGUAAGAAGUUAAACAAUUAUAUGAUUGGUAUUGGGACGCAUUUGUGGAUAGUUUCUACAUAUUUGUAAGUUCAUAAGGUAACUUUGCUUAUGUAAGGAUUUUAUAGCUAUCUUUUAAAAUUAUUGAAAAAUAUUUAGAUGUGUAAUUUUUUUUAUUUAUAUUUUAAGAUUAAAGAAAUGGAUAUUUUUAAAAAUAUUGUAAAAUUAUUGUAGAUGUAGAGUAAUAUAUUAGAAGUAAUACUAAAAACAUAAAGCUUGUAUAAUAAAUUAGUGCCAUUUGAUAACUUUCAAUACAAAAAUAAAAAAGAAUCUUACAAGAACCUUUUAACAAGAUAAUUAUGACAUAUUCAAUAUUUUUUUACACAAUCAAAUUUAUAUUUUUUAUAUGCUAUAAAUGGUAAAAAUCUUAUACAUUAUUCUGUUUACUGGUUGCAAUAAAUUAAUUUAAACUUUGAUUCUGUAGAAUUCAGUGUAAAGGAUCAAGAGCAACAAUUUCUUUGGUUAACAAAAUUAUACACUCUUCUUGCUACAUCUCAAAAAGAAUAAAUUAUAAAUAUAUGUAUAUUGUCUCAAAUUAACAUCGAGAGUUUAUUUAGUAAGCCAAUCCUAAUUCAUCAUUAAUUAAAAUGUGCACUAUUGCUUUGCACUCUAAUAGAAUUGAUAUUAAGUAUUAAGUCCAAUUAUUUCUAAUUUGAAGUUGAUUCCUUUCAAUACCAUAUUUCUGCAAGAAAAAGAGUGUUAAUUCUGGAUGUAAAUUCAAUUUAAAAAAACACGUGGUCUUGAAUGGAAGUAAAUAAUGACUAGAUAGAAGCUCAACUUCAAGAGAUUAUGAACUCUACCAGCAUGCAGAUAUAUUACUGCCAUGCUACAUGAGGCAAAACAUAUCAUACAUGGCCUUGGGACAAAGUACGGCACAUGAAUCUUACAAGACAUGAAGGAUAGUGUGGAACAGGGUUCGCAUGACAUGGUGGGUUCCUUUUUGGUGAUGAGUCUUCUAAACCAUCAAAGUUCCAAGCAAGACCUUGAUGGUUAUACAAGAAUAUCCUCGUCUCACUAGCAGACAUUUGUGAUAAGAUGGAGGGUAAUGAACGGGACACUAGACGAACCAAAAUAUGGAGCACUGAGAAAAGUGACAGCAAGAGUACAGGCAAAUGACGCGACGACAGGAGAAGAUUUGGACAGUGACCGCUUUGAUGAGAUAGUGGCAUUCUCAGAUAACUUUCAACAUACUCUGCCCUAUGUCUCAUCAUUCCAUACUUCUUACUCUGCACACACUCUGCAUGAACAUACCCACUACAAUGUCACGUUGAAAUAUACGGCCCACUGCAGGGCUUCAUAUAAAAGUCUAAUUAAGAUAACUGGAAGCAUGGCGACGUUAUUUAUUAUCGACAACAGCCUCAACAAGAUCAUCCACCACGAGACAGGAACAUCUGGAAUGUAGACAACAUGAACGCUAAUGCAAGACAAGCGAGAACAUAUAGAAUUACCAUCAAAGUUUUGUUCUAGAUCAAGGUAAACGAAGUCUAGCACACCUGCUAGAGCUAACAUGUAGAGUGCAGUGUUGCGGAUUUACUAAUGAGCGAAACUCGCACAAACUAACCAGAUGGCCAGUGAAGAAGAUCUCUGCCCCGCAUCUAUCGCUCAACAUACUCCAAACAAUGACAAGACGGUUCUACGUUUCGACGAACCAACGUUUUUUCACUCCAGUAGCAGGAGUAAAACUGAUCGGUAAACAACACCCAUGAGGUAAUUCGUGAGACAAGACCAUUAGGAGUGACAGCUGUGCUUUACGUUGGAAAAACAUUUAUGAAUUGAUGAAAAAUCACUCCCCUAUAUUGUACACGAUGUUCGAACUCCUGCAUCGGCAUUCAAGUCAGCAAGCAUUUCCACCAGUUUGAUGAAGCAUGGCAUCGAUCUCAUCUCCAUCUUCCAUUUCAAGCUGUCACAUCAACGUGGAAAAUUCUUAUGUUAAAACACAAAACAUUUGGAAACAAAAUUAGACAGGUAAGUGAGUAAAUCGAGAAAGUUGAAUCAAGUGAACCGUCCAUCUCGACAGAAAAACAAAGCCACGGGAUGCUAAAAUUCUACUACUGAGAACAAGAUAAAUAUACAGUAACUUGAAAUGCAUACCUCCGCAGGGGUCUGAUCAGCUCGAAGGCGUCUGCCAUCGAAAAGAAACGCAAUAGAUGAGGGAUCCACAGAUUGGCGAUCACAGUACGCGUUCAUCAGCUUCCGAAGCGUUGCAGUGCUCUUAAUCCGGAAGAACACCUCUCCUCCAUCCUACAUCAUGACAACCAACGCUGCCAAAUUAAUACGGUGUUGAUCUAUAAAUUAGAAUGCUGCCAAUCGUCAUCUCGUGCUUACGUCGACACACCACGACGAAAAAUAUGAACGGAACACAACCUGCGUAAACUGAGCAGAAACUUUUUCGACUAAAGAGAUACCCAAAGUACAGCGGUAUUCUAACAACAAACAAGGCCAGAUACUUAAAAUCAAGUGGGCAACACAGCCCUUACUAAAACCCCGAGUAUUGAGUCCGGUUGCAUUUAAACUACUGGAAACCGACCCUCUAGGGUGUAACCCUUUCUAUUCAUUCACUUCUUUUAAAACGCUUUCCCAAGAACUAAAACCAAAGAGGAGAGAAAGAUCUACAGUCAUAACAAAUAGCAUGGCUGCACAUUUACGAGCAUUGUCCUCGGAAAACCACAUAGAAAGACGCACUGCCGAGAACUAAAACGUCAAAGAAACACCAGGGGAAAAAAAUAAAAUAAAGCAACAUUUCAGAUCCUACCGCUACCUCCAUGAAGUACAAGCAAACGCGUCUCCAUGAAAAUCCAUGCAAAUUCAUUAAAACCCUACGUCUUUACAGAGAAAAGAAUGCAACAAACCCUAACACCUUAUCGACGAAAAUGCCCAAACCACUCCCAAAUUAAACUCGGCGUCACCAAAGCUCAACCACUAACCCCAGUCCUCUCACACAAAAACUUUACACACGUUUUGAAUACCAUCUUUCUCGUCACUACCAACCGAAACCGACCUGUCCUUUAACUUUGAGGUUGAUAUGCUGCCCCGCACCGUCGAGCGGCUUCUUCUCCUCCUGAUCCUGAGUAUUGGUCUGAUUGUUGGCCAUUUUGCUGCCGUCCUCAACGCCUGACAUUGCUACUCGCGCAAAUUGAAGGACAACAAAAAAGAAAAGAGAAGAAGAAAAAAAAAAAAAAACACUGGCGGCGCGAAGAGAAGCGCUACUGGGCAGAAGUAAGAUUGCACAGGGAGGAGGGGAAGCAGACACGAGGAAGAAGAGCGGGGCUGAAACAAAUAGUUUGAAAAAAGCUGCGCUACCGCGCGGUGGAUUACAAAACAAUGCGACAGGUUCCAAGUUAUCUUCCCCCCCCCCUCUUUUUCGUUUGCUAGUCUUACUAAUUGCAUUCUGUUGCCUCACUAGUACGCUCAUUAAACAAGGUUUGUUUAACUAAACCGUAUUACUGGGCUGAAAAGAUAUUUGUUGUAGUCGUAAAGGGCACCAUUGCAUUAAACUUUUUAGAACAGCUGGAGGAACUGGGACCUUCUGGAAAAUUCCAUUUAUGAGGUGAGGCUAUGGUGCCCAUGGAAGUUGAAUAUUUACAUAAAGGGAGGAGGAUGUUCGAAGCGUGGGAAAUUGUUGCCUUCAGUUGUAGUCGUGAGUAAAGCACUGUAACACAAACUUCUCAUUCUAAAAUACUUGUUAAGGUCAACGAAAGGUCAAUGACGAUGUACGUGGAUUUCUUGCAAUGUAUAAUAAAUCAUAUCUCACAUGCACCUUUCGAAACUAUACCGAAUGUAAUCCAAUCUUUGUGUGAACCAUGUUGUAUGAUGUGAGGAACGGUACCGAUUUAUGUGCUCUGAGCUCCAGUAGUUAGCAAAAGUUGCGAAGGAAAUCGCGCAAUGGAUAAAAAAUUUGAUAGCAAUGAAAUUGUAGAUAUGAUGGGGACAAGUACCGAAAGAGUAAAGAGGGAGACAGAAAGGAAGUGGUCUAGGACGAUGAAAAGUAAAACCAUUAGUAUACAAGCGACGGCAGGGAAUACACCUCUUCAGAUUAUCUGAAAGAUGUCGAAAAAGGCAUGAAGUAUACAGCCGAGGGCCGAAGGGCAACUUUAGUGCGAUGUGAUUCAAUGUAGGCUAAGUUCAAACCAGCGCAUUUUCGGUUUCAAAAUGGCUCGCAACAGACCGCGUGAAGGUGUUUCCCGUGAUAGCAGACAACUUCACAGAUCAAGCUGUGUGCUGUUUCGUUUCUUUCUCGCUAAUGCAAUCGAGGAAGUCAUCAUUGCGGUUUAAGGUGAAAUAGCGCACCAUCAAUGAAAAAUAGUAUAUACAAAAUAUAUAUAUAUAUAUACACAUAUGCAGUUUCUGUGACCGCAAAGGUGCUAUUCGAUUACAAAAGCCUCAUGUUGCAGUAGCAAAAUCAAAGCGGCAACUCGCUUGAAGAGCAAUUAAGGAGCUCAGAUACACUAUGUAAAGUUUGCUUGGAUUCCACAUCACACGGGAACUUCUUAAUGCGUCGCCGAUUGCGUAAGGAUUUGCCUCGAAAAUCCAAGAACUCCCCGGAAAUCAGUCCUCACCAAUCAAACCGUCACUGCAUUCUACAUCUUAAGCGGAGAUGUCAGGGUAGACUCUUCUCUGCAUACGUUAGGGUUGUACCACUCAAUAAUUUUCUUCCCUCGUUGUGUACAACCUCUACCUUCUCAAAUUUCAAUCAGAAGGUUAGUCCAAUUCUUCUCACACAAAGGAUUGUAUUAUCGAGGUCAUUAAUAAGAACUUAUUGAGGAAAAUUAAGCGGAAACGUCUUCCUGAGCGCAAUGUUGUUUGAAAGCAUCGUGCGCAUUUAUUAUUAUUCCAAAUUAACCAUCUGUAAGUUUAAAAAUAAACUGACUGACAAAGACAUCAUUCUUGAUAAAAGGAGGAAUACGCAAUAGUACACUAUUCUAGUUACGAUUGGCGUUGUACUCAAAAUCUUACUUUAUAAAUCUCACUUAAACACGCAAAGCUUACCUGAUUUACACUAUGUUUUCUUGGGCUUUAUGAUAAGAAAAAAGCACAACAAAAUCUAUAAUUUGUUUUUUGUUCGUAGUUUUGUGAGGCGUCUUCUUU
rnacentral:lncRNA from 1 species